GGGGGGUGAAGGUGAAAUAGUGAAGUGAAAAUAGAAAAAUGUAAAGUAGUGAGAGUAAAACAUGCACUUGCCUAGUUAAAGAGUAAAAUAAUGUUACUCUUGUUAUAAAUUAUAAUUUUACAAAAGUGUUGCUAUUUAUUGUAAUUAUAAUCUUAAGUAUGCUACUUUGUGUAAUUUUUUCAUAUUUUUAUCUCAAUUUAUGUGAUAUAAAUAAAUUUUUUGAUCAUUGUGAUUUAUAUUAUUUUUUCUUCUAAUUCAAUUUAAGUGACUGAUAUAAUUUUGAAAGUCAGUUAAAUAUUUUAUAUCUUUUACUUUUUUAUUUUAAGUUGUCAGUUAUAUGAUUUCUAAUGUUUUUUACACAUUUUUCAAUAAGCUAUGAAUACUCUUCCCGUCCCGAUUUAUGUGACACAGAUAAAAUUUCAAUAGUCAAUUAAUUUUUUAUUAAUAUUUUUUUAUAUUUAGUUCUUAAUUAUUGUGAUUUACAAUACUUUUAUCUCGUUUUCAAAUAAUAUAUGUCACUUUAGGUCUUUCUGUCACAUCUCAAUUUAUGUGACAGUAAUGUAAUUUAAGAAAAGACAUCUUUUUCAUCCUGAACUUGUCCUCCAAACUCACAUUAACAUUUAAACUUAACUUCUGUUUAUUUAACCACUUUAACAUCUUUAAAGUGUAUUUGUUUCACCCCUCAAAACUGAAUACCACUCUCACAACGGAGAGUGGGUUACACGCGCGCCAUGUCAGUGCCAAAUUAGUGCCACAUCAAUGUCAGGUCAUUUCCACGUAAGAAAUUAAAAUUUUAAAAAAAUCCCACACACAUACUCUUUUUAUGUAUUUUUGUUUUAAAAAGCAAAAAAUAAAUAUUUACUAUUUAUAUAUAAUAUAUAUACAUGUACUAUUUUAAUAUNNNNNNNNNNNNNNNNNNNNNNNNNNNNNNNNNNNNNNNNNNNNNNNNNNNNNNNNNNNNNNNNNNNNNNNNNNNNNNNNNNNNNNNNNNNNNNNNNNNNNNNNNNNNNNNNNNNNNNNNNNNNNNNNNNNNNNNNNNNNNNNNNNNNNNNNNNNNNNNNNNNNNNNNNNNNNNNNNNNNNNNNNNNNNNNNNNNNNNNNNNNNNNNNNNNNNNNNNNNNNNNNNNNNNNNNNNNNNNNNNNNNNNNNNNNNNNNNNNNNNNNNNNNNNNNNNNNNNNNNNNNNNNNNNNNNNNNNNNNNNNNNNNNNNNNNNNNNNNNNNNNNNNNNNNNNNNNNNNNNNNNNNNNNNNNNNNNNNNNNNNNNNNNNNNNNNNNNNNNNNNNNNNNNNNNNNNNNNNNNNNNNNNNNNNNNNNNNNNNNNNNNNNNNNNNNNNNNNNNNNNNNNNNNNNNNNNNNNNNNNNNNNNNNNNNNNNNNNNNNNNNNNNNNNNNNNNNNNNNNNNNNNNNNNNNNNNNNNNNNNNNNNNNNNNNNNNNNNNNNNNNNNNNNNNNNNNNNNNNNNNNNNNNNNNNNNNNNNNNNNNNNNNNNNNNNNNNNNNNNNNNNNNNNNNNNNNNNNNNNNNNNNNNNNNNNNNNNNNNNNNNNNNNNNNNNNNNNNNNNNNNNNNNNNNNNNNNNNNNNNNNNNNNNNNNNNNNNNNNNNNNNNNNNNNNNNNNNNNNNNNNNNNNNNNNNNNNNNNNNNNNNNNNNNNNNNNNNNNNNNNNNNNNNNNNNNNNNNNNNNNNNNNNNNNNNNNNNNNNNNNNNNNNNNNNNNNNNNNNNNNNNNNNNNNNNNNNNNNNNNNNNNNNNNNNNNNNNNNNNNNNNNNNNNNNNNNNNNNNNNNNNNNNNNNNNNNNNNNNNNNNNNNNNNNNNNNNNNNNNNNNNNNNNNNNNNNNNNNNNNNNNNNNNNNNNNNNNNNNNNNNNNNNNNNNNNNNNNNNNNNNNNNNNNNNNNNNNNNNNNNNNNNNNNNNNNNNNNNNNNNNNNNNNNNNNNNNNNNNNNNNNNNNNNNNNNNNNNNNNNNNNNNNNNNNNNNNNNNNNNNNNNNNNNNNNNNNNNNNNNNNNNNNNNNNNNNNNNNNNNNNNNNNNNNNNNNNNNNNNNNNNNNNNNNNNNNNNNNNNNNNNNNNNNNNNNNNNNNNNNNNNNNNNNNNNNNNNNNNNNNNNNNNNNNNNNNNNNNNNNNNNNNNNNNNNNNNNNNNNNNNNNNNNNNNNNNNNNNNNNNNNNNNNNNNNNNNNNNNNNNNNNNNNNNNNNNNNNNNNNNNNNNNNNNNNNNNNNNNNNNNNNNNNNNNNNNNNNNNNNNNNNNNNNNNNNNNNNNNNNNNNNNNNNNNNNNNNNNNNNNNNNNNNNNNNNNNNNNNNNNNNNNNNNNNNNNNNNNNNNNNNNNNNNNNNNNNNNNNNNNNNNNNNNNNNNNNNNNNNNNNNNNNNNNNNNNNNNNNNNNNNNNNNNNNNNNNNNNNNNNNNNNNNNNNNNNNNNNNNNNNNNNNNNNNNNNNNNNNNNNNNNNNNNNNNNNNNNNNNNNNNNNNNNNNNNNNNNNNNNNNNNNNNNNNNNNNNNNNNNNNNNNNNNNNNNNNNNNNNNNNNNNNNNNNNNNNNNNNNNNNNNNNNNNNNNNNNNNNNNNNNNNNNNNNNNNNNNNNNNNNNNNNNNNNNNNNNNNNNNNNNNNNNNNNNNNNNNNNNNNNNNNNNNNNNNNNNNNNNNNNNNNNNNNNNNNNNNNNNNNNNNNNNNNNNNNNNNNNNNNNNNNNNNNNNNNNNNNNNNNNNNNNNNNNNNNNNNNNNNNNNNNNNNNNNNNNNNNNNNNNNNNNNNNNNNNNNNNNNNNNNNNNNNNNNNNNNNNNNNNNNNNNNNNNNNNNNNNNNNNNNNNNNNNNNNNNNNNNNNNNNNNNNNNNNNNNNNNNNNNNNNNNNNNNNNNNNNNNNNNNNNNNNNNNNNNNNNNNNNNNNNNNNNNNNNNNNNNNNNNNNNNNNNNNNNNNNNNNNNNNNNNNNNNNNNNNNNNNNNNNNNNNNNNNNNNNNNNNNNNNNNNNNNNNNNNNNNNNNNNNNNNNNNNNNNNNNNNNNNNNNNNNNNNNNNNNNNNNNNNNNNNNNNNNNNNNNNNNNNNNNNNNNNNNNNNNNNNNNNNNNNNNNNNNNNNNNNNNNNNNNNNNNNNNNNNNNNNNNNNNNNNNNNNNNNNNNNNNNNNNNNNNNNNNNNNNNNNNNNNNNNNNNNNNNNNNNNNNNNNNNNNNNNNNNNNNNNNNNNNNNNNNNNNNNNNNNNNNNNNNNNNNNNNNNNNNNNNNNNNNNNCGUUUGAAGCUCUCGAGAUGACAAACGCAGUUAUCGGAUUACUUUGGAAUUUCUACGGUUGAAUCAAAAGUAAUUUAAAGGUCAAAUUUGGCUAGGGUUUGUUCUUUCUCAAUGAUUGAUGAUGAAAAUGAGUUUUUGAACUCAUAUACAUGUAUAUAUACACAUAUUCCCGUCCAUAAUAUCAUAGGGAAUGACCAAAGUGCCUUUAAAAUUUAAAUAAUGUCAAAUCUGUCCUUUGGUGGACUGUUUUGGUAAGUUAAAGUAGAUCGACCAUAACUCUUUGUUACGAUAUCGGAUUUGGGUGAAAUUGGUAUUGUUGGAAAGAUAAUUCAAAGGGCUUUCAUUUCAAAUAAAGUAGGACACCCAGUUCGUCCUGUAGAAGGAGUUAUGAUCGUUCGAAGUUGACCUUAAAAAUCUGUUUUGAGAGGCUGAAGUAAAACGAGUAUAACUCCUUACUCAAAUGUUGGAUUUGGAUGAAACCAAUUGCAUUGGAAAGAAGACUCAAAGAUCUUUCUUUUCAUCGAUCUCAUCUCUCCCAGUUCAUUAUAUUAAGGGAUUUAUGAUCGUUCAAAGUUAACCCAAAAAAUUGGCUGGCCUCAGUAGUUUGUGUGCAGGAAAUUUUCCUGCACAUUUACUAUUCCUAAUAUCCCGGCCACCGUUUUAUAGUUUCGAACGUGCUCGAUUAUAUCCGAAACCUAUCCGUUUUUGGAAAUCUUUAUAUCAUUAGAAAGCUUAUUCAAUAACCUUCGUAUGGAACCAUCGACGGGCAAAUUUCGGUAUAAAUAAAAUAAAAUAAAAUAAAUUCCAUAUAAAUAAGACCAAUACACGUACUUGAAUAUGCCAAUACACGUACUUGAAUACGGGGUGUUACACUACCCCCCAUUCUUUCUCCCCUUCCAACCCCCUCCCCUACGAUUCUUUCUCCCCUUUCAGCCCUACCCCUACCCCACCCUUCCAGCCCCCCACCCUCGUUCUUUCAUUGAUGAUAAGUGAUUCAAAAAUAAAAUCAUCAAUUUAAUUUAAUUUUUAUCUAAAUUUUGAGGGAGUUGGAUUGAAGGUUGAGAUGGUGUUCAAUAGAGAAAAUUAUUUAAUAGUGUUUUCAUGUUUAUUCUUGAGUUUUAAUGGAGGAAAGUAAAAAAAUUUAAAGGAAAGUGUUGUUCUUGGGUGUUGUUGUUAAUGGAGGAAAGUGAAAAAAAUUUAAAGGAAAGUGUUGUUCUUAGGUGGUGUUGUUAAUGGAGGAAAGUUAAAAAAAUUGAGGUUGUUAAUGGAGGUUCGACUGUUGUUGUUGAUGACGAUUUGAAGAAGAAAGAAGAAGAGAAAAAAUGUUCAUCUUUUAUUUUAAUUUUAAUUUUUUUUAAAAAAUUAUUAUAUUUUAAAUAUAAUAUUACUGAAAUUAAUUUUUUUAAACAAUAAAAACAACAAAAUAUUUUUAAAAAAAAAAAAAAAACAACUAAGAAAAAAAAAACCAAAAAGAGUUUAUUUAUAGCUUAUUACAUAAAAUACCAAAAUACCCUUAAUGAAAAAGGAUCUAAAUUUUGAGGGAGUUGGAUUGAAGGUUGAGAUGGUGUUCAAUAGAGAAAAUUAUUUAAUAGUGUUUUCAUGUUUAUUCUUGAGUUUUAAUGGAGGAAAGUAAAAAAAUUUAAAGGAAAGUGUUGUUCUUGGGUGUUGUUGUUAAUGGAGGAAAGUGAAAAAAAUUUAAAGGAAAGUGUUGUUCUUAGGUGGUGUUGUUAAUGGAGGAAAGUUAAAAAAAUUGAGGUUGUUAAUGGAGGUUCGACUGUUGUUGUUGAUGACGAUUUGAAGAAGAAAGAAGAAGAGAAAAAAUGUUCAUCUUUUAUUUUAAUUUUAAUUUUUUUUAAAAAAUUAUUAUAUUUUAAAUAUAAUAUUACUGAAAUUAAUUUUUUAAAUAAAUAAACGCGCCUUUUUUAAAAAAAAAAAUGUCACGUCAGCUUUAGGGGUCAAACAAAUACACUUUAAAAAUGUUAAGAGGGUAAAUAAACGGAAGUUAAGUUUAAGUGCUAAAGUAAGUUUGGAGGAUAAGUUCAGGGGAAAAAGAUGUCUUCUCUCAUGUAAUUUUGAUAUUCAGCCAAAUUUUUUAUGUAGACAUAUCACUGUGUGUCAAUUUUUACUUCUUUUUUUUUAUGAAAUAUUAUUAAUUUUUUAUUGCUUAGAUGGUCAUAAUAAUUAAUUACGGGUGCUAAAGUAAAAUCAUGAUGAAAGCAGUAAAACAAAUAUGUCUUAAACGACUUAUAGUAGCCAAUUAAAAGGGAUAUGGCAAAAUUACUAUAAAAAAUGCUUGGAAAAAAAGAUUAAAUGAGUCUCAUAUCAGACAUCAAGUUAAUUUAAAACAUCAAGAGUUAAUUUAUCAUUUUACGUCUAGUUUACUUUUUUUAUUUAAUAUUAGUAAUUAUUUAAUUUUUAGAUGAUUUAUAAUAAUUAAUUAGAGAUGAUAUAAUAAAAUUAUUGUUGAAGCAGCUGAUGCAGACAUGUUAUAAAUAUUUAUUUUACUUUAAUCAUGUUGACCGCCUAAGGUAUUUUUUGAAUUUAGCAAAGUUAUCAAUUUAAGUCAAUUAUUACGAAAACCCAAAUUGGUUUCUUGGUACAGAAAACGUAGAUAAGAAGUGUCAUUAAUUUGCAAGAAGUUAAUAUAUUCAUUAAUGCAAAUUAAAUUACCCCAUAAAAUAUUGUUCAAUGUAUAAUUAAUUGUAGUUUUUGUUAGCCUAUAGACGGAGUAUUUCUUCCGUUUCAAAAAUGUUCUCACAUUAGUCCAACUUCGUACCUUUCCGACAUAAAUUUUAUAUAUUGAAGAUGUCGUAUUUCUUUAGACCUAAAUCGAAAUAUAUCAAAGUAGAAUUCACCUUUUUCUUUUGUUGAUACCCUAAGAUCGAUCAAAACUUUGUGAAUUAUAGCGAUCAAAUUCGUCUUUAAUGAAAAGGUUGUGCUCCAACUUUAUGAAGCUAAGAUGAUAGAAGGUUUAUAGAGGAUUUGUCACAGGAUAAGUCAUACUGACGAGCAGGCAGUGAGCUGACUUGAUCAGUCGAUCAAUAAUCAUUCAUGGAUAGGAAGUGAGCUGACUUGAUCAAUCGAUCAAUAAUCAUUCAUAAAACGUAGAUGUUGCCUUACAUCUUUGAUAGAGAAGAUAUUCGAAACUCCUACCAUAAUAGGCUUUAAAUGCAAUUAGAACAGAUAAAUUGAAAAUUUAGGACGAAAUAACCUGUUUUAUUACCAACUUCUAACUAAUGAAAAAAAUAAGCAAAAGUUCAUGUUGUAUGACUAGAUUUAGAUCUUUUAUUUUUUUUACUUUAUUCUAUUUAUUUAUUAGUAUAGAAAUGUUAGUAUUCUUUAUGAAGGGAUCAUAAAAAUUCAAUAACUGUUUUUUCGUCCGUUUCAGAAAAAUUAUCACCUUGCUAAAAUUAAUACACUUUAAUUUUAAAAUUUCUCUUUUAUUCUUAAUGAAAUAAUUAAAUUCAAAAUUGUGGGAAUUGCAAAAAUGUUGAGGUAAAGAAUGUUUAAUUAGUUACCAAGGUGGUGUAAAAGCUAGCCAAGUUAGAAUGUGUAUAAAGUUGGAUAUCUACAGUAUUAUUUUUCUUCUAUUAUCGUCGACACGUAAUUUUUUUUUUUUGAUACUUUUUCAAUUUUAACUCAUUUUUUAUUGAGUUAAUACAUAAAAAUAACCCUAAACUUGACACCAAAUUAUAACUUUGACUUUAAACUUUGACAGUACACAAAUAUGACAUUUAACUAUUCAAAACUGCACAAUUAUGAUCUCCAAUCCUACGUGGCAAAACGCGUGUUCAACACGCAAAACUGAUUGCGUUCAGCUUAAAAUCUAAGAGCAUAAUACAUAAAUAUGACCUUAAACUUUGACAGUGCACAAAUAUGACCUUUAACUAUUCAAAACUGCACAAAUAUGACCUUUAAAUGACUCUUUACUAUUAUUUUUCAUUAUUUUCGGCUCAAAAAUGACAAUGACAUCUAAUUUCUUUUGUCAUUGCGAAAAAAGAGCAAUAUUGAAGAUUUAUUAAUUAGGCGGGUCAGCCUCAUACGAAAAAAUCGAGCGGGUCUGUAUAUAUAUUAUAAAGCAGAAGACGAAUUUAAGUUACAUAAUAUAUCUAAAUAUUAUUAAUUUAAAUAUUAAAUUAAAGAUGAAACUAUACUAAUAAUUAAAAAAAUGUAUAGUUUUAAUAAAACUUUAUUAAAUUAAUGUUAUAAAGGAUAGUAGUAUAUUAAAUUAACGUUAUCAAAUUAACAUAAUUAAACGAUGCUAUUAAAUUAACGAGGGGCGGACCUACGUGGUUGUCAUGGGGUUCACCCGAGCCCCCUCGGUAAAAAAAUUACUUUUUAUAUAUAUAAGAUAGAAAAUGUAUAUUUAUGUACGUAUAUUAAUGUUGAACCACAUGAAACAAGACACUUAGAUAGCCUAGUGAUAUUAUUUGCUCUUCUUACAAAAAGACCACUUGUUCAUACCCCACAAGUUAGUACAUACCGAGAUAGCCUAAACCAAGAUAAAAAAGUUUACAACUACACCGCCCAGAAAUACAUAGAAAAUAUCUACAGAGUACAAAUUUUUCUAAACCAUAACCCCAGAGCUACAAACAUCAAAGAACCAAACACCAACUAUAUAACCCAAAAAUUACAAGGAUAUAACAAACUAAUUGCACUACCCAAAACUAACCCAAGCCUAGUAAAAACUUGUUGGCUCUGAUACCAAUUGUAGGGGGGUGCGGAUAUGAAAUAGAUUCACCUAUUUUUUGUGCGUGGAUAUUUUUAAAUUUUUGUUUCAAUAUCUUUUAAUGAUUUACUUUUUUCGUAAGAUAUAUUCAUUAAUUUGUUUAUUAUUUUAUCCUGUAGUAAUUGCAGAGUUACAAAUUUCUGUAUAAUAAUUUAUCCUAACUGUACUGUAAUAUGUAUCUAAUUCUAGAUUUGUGGAAUGGAGAGAGUAUUUGCUUCAAGGCAUGAAGGCUUGCUUUGCAAUGCCUUCGGCUUUCUUUAUUUAUAGAAUGAAAUCUUUACAAUCUUCACACGUUUUUUAAAAUGCUAAAAACUACUAAUAAAAAGUCAAAAAGGCUAUUACCUAGACCUAUAGCCUUUAGAAAAUUCUACAAGUCUGGUAAAGUCUAUAAGUCUACAUAUAGGAACUUACAAUAAUUACAAUUCUUUUACGUAAAGACAAAAUCUAUACAAUGAUCAUAAAUAAUUCAAUAUCUUGUCUCCGUUGAUGUUGUCGUAUCUGCUAUAUCUCCAUUAUUGCUUCUUAUCUUAUCUUUCAGCCUGGCAUUUUGUCUUCUUUUAUUCUAGAUGUACUUCUGAAAUAAUGUUAUCUUCUCCAUUACAUCUUGAACAUUGGUGAUCUGGAUAUUUGUGUCCAAUUAUUUUACAAUAUCUUGUCAGUAAAUGAGAAAGAUAUGAUGAGUUGGAGAGAACUUAAUAACUUUAAUCUAUAUCUUAUGUUUGUCAUUAAAUUAUUACUGCCUUCGUUUCAAAUUGAUGAUUUGACGCUAAGUUUAAGUAAAUUAAGAAGAUUUCUGAAUUUUGUAAUAGACAUGUCAAAUGUACUAAAAUAUCUUUAAACAUGUCAUAUGAGAAAUUGAAAAUAGAAAGUUUCUAAAAAAGAAAAAAUAAAUUAAAAAGAUACGUCAAAACUUUGAAUGGAAGGGAUUAUUAUUCUUAUUAUUAGUGUUGUUGUUAUUAUUAUUAUUAUUAUUAUUAUUAUUAUUAUUAUUAUAAUAAUAAUAAUAAUAACAACAACAACAAUAAUAAUAAUAAUAAUAAAAACGACGUCGUUUUAACACAAAAAGUAAAACUUUGAUAGUGCACAAAUAUGAUCUUUAACUAUUCAAAAUUGCACAAAUAUGACCUCUCUCCAAGUCAGCCCUUUUAACGACGUGACACCAUGUGAUUGGAUUACCUUUCUAUUUAGGCGCGAGUGAGACUCACGCAUGGAGUUGCAAAAUCGGAGGUCAUAUUUGUUCAGGUUUUGAAUAGUUAAAGGUAUUAUUUGUGCACUAUUAAAGUUUAAGAUUAAAAUUAUAAUUUAAUAUCAAAUUUAGGAUAUUUUUAUAUAUUAAUUCUUUUUUAUUUUAAGAACUCGUGUGGUAUAGGGAUAGAAAUUAUUAAUUAUAAAAUUAAUUUUAAAAUGAGUGAACUCAUCUAAAAAUUUGUUAUCCCGAGAUUGUAGGCUUCAAACACUGUAUACUCUUUUUCUACUUUAUUCUAUAGAAACUUUUUCUUACAAAAUAUGUUUAGUAUUUUUAAUAAUAAAGUAUAAAGAAAUGAUCAUAAAAGUGUCACAUGUGGAAGAAGGUGACCACAUACACACUAUAAUAUAUAAGUGAAGAAAAGUAGAAUGGGUGCUUCGGAGGAUGUUCAAUUAGAGAUCAUCUGUUUUACUUUCGUCGAUGUGUGUCCACAGAUAAUUUGGACAGAUAUGCAGGAACUUAUUUUAUUAGGUUCAUUAAUACAUGUAAUAAGGAUAUUUGUGGAACUCUCUCCUUUUUUGUACUUAAUUUCGACUAAUUUAUCACGAAACAAUAUUUAUUUAAUUUAAAUUUUUUUUAUUUCUAAAAAAAAAAAUAGAAAGGAAAGGGAGAAAAAAGGUGAAAGAUAUGAUUGAAUCAAGGUCGAGUAUAAUUGGACCAAGGCUUGGUAGAAAAAAAUAAAUUUUGAUCCACUAAAUCUUUUGUUACGUGCGAAGUUUGAAAAAUAAUCGAACUAUAUGAGUUUGUCGUGUAUGCAAUCUAACCUUUUAAAUUCACAAAAGCUAUUUUCACAAUUUGAACUUGUGACAGUUUAAUCAUAUGAAGAUAACUUUAUCUGUUAAUUAUCUAAGGCAUAAUACAUAAAUAAGAACUUUAACUUGACACUAAAUUAUAAUUAUGAUUUUUAACUUUACUAAUGGACAAGUAGAUCCUUUGACUAUACAAAAACUCAACAACAAAAAAAAAAAACUCUAAUACUAUCUGAUAAAAUGUGUGUAUACACCUUAUAACCACGCACGUCAGAGUUAGAAUUGAAGUGUUUUUUUGUUCAACUUUUAUAUUUUUAAUGGCUUACUUGUGCACUGACUAAGUUAAAUGUCAUACUUAUAAUGUGUCUUUUUGAUUAAGUAGCAACAUAUGUGUGGAUCACUAAUUCAUGUAGGAACGAUUGAGUUUCACGCAUGUAAAUUGCAGAAUUAGAGUGUUUUUUCUUUUUUCAAUUUUUAUAUAAUUAAAGAGCCUAUUUCUAAACUAACAAAAUUAAAAAUCAUAAUUAUAAUUUAAUAUCAAGUUAAGAGAUUUGCUUAUGUAUGUAUUAUGUCAUUAUUUAACAAGCCAUAACUUAUGUGAAGCAGAGUGCUAUUAUUAAGGGAAAAUACUCACGAAAAUAACCAGAGUGCUAUUAUUAAGGGAUAAUACUCACGAAAAUAACUAGAAUGGGAUAAUAGUCACAAAAAUACCUGAACUUUAAUCGAAUUUUCAGUUGAGUAUACUGAACUUUGAGAGAGUCCUAUUACCCUAAACUUUUUAAAGUAGAUUUAAUUCACCCUGAAACUUUAUACCCAGCUUCAACGUCUGGCUGUGUAAUGCACUCGCCAAUCUUAUUUUUACACAUGUAUUAGCGCGUAUAACCUCAUAUUUAUACGUGUUCAAGUGGACAGAUAUAUGUCAUUAAAAUAUAAAAGUAAAAUAAAAUAGGGUAAUAGUAAUCCCACAAAAUUCAGUAUAAUCAACUGAUAAUCCCAUCAAAUUUCAUGUAUUUUUGUGAUUAUUAUCCUAUUAUUAACAUCCAAACAAUUCUAGUAACUUUUUUAUUAAAUUAAAGAACUUAGAAAAAACAGUGCUUUUGAUCAUAACUUGAAGCUAGUUGUCGGUGACAGUACAAAUAAUAAUGCUACUAGUACUAUUAACUACUUCCACUAAGCCAUGGCUUCUGCUACUGCUGUUGAGUCAUCACUAUCACUUUCACCAUUUUCUUUACUUGUAUUAGCAAGACUUUCAGCUUCUAUUGUUGCUCUUCUUGUUCUUACUUGGGCUCUACAUUUCAAGACUAGUUUUCACCCUACUUCUUCUUCUUCUCAAGAAGACCUUAUUUAUGCUGUAAGUUGGUUACUCCCUCACUCAUUACUCUCAAUUUAAGUGACACUUUUCGAAUUUCAAGAUUCACACGGAUUAGGGUAGAGUGUUAGGGGUGGGAGUGCGUCGAUAACAAUAGGAUAGGAGAGCGUUUUGUUGUGUCUAAAGUUUCUUGUUCAUGGUGUUGUGUGAUGUUUAUGAUUUCGGUUAGAUAGUACUUAGUGUUAUCUUUUGUGUUUGUUAUAUUGUUAUCCGUCCUAAGCCGGUCUAUCGAAAACAACCUAUCUACUCACAUGGGUAGUGAUAGGGUAAUUUUUUUCUGUGUCAUAUAAAGUAGGACAAAGUGAGUACAUUCAUUUCCAUUAACUGUACGUUUUUUUGAGCUAAAAUUUUGUGAAGUUUGAGUUAAAUUCUUUUUUUUUUUUUGUAGGUGCUUCAUCCAUUAUUAAUGGUGAUUGGGUUCAUUCUCAUAAGUGGAGAAGGUGAGCUCAGUUUUUUUUUUUUUUUUUUCUUAAAGUGCUUUUGGGAAUGUUUUUUUUCUUCUUUUUUCCUUUUUUUUCUAUAUGUUGUUUAAAAAUCAAAUCUUUUUUCCUUUUCUUGGAAGUGAUUUUGGAAAGUGGUGUUUUGGGAUUUUACACAAAUAGCCCAUAGAUUUACUGUUUACUUUUUCUAGCUAGUAUACAUAGAUUAUACAUUGAUUAUGUAUGAUUGUACACAUAUUAUAAAUCUGCAGGCUAUUUUAAAUUUAAUCAGUUGAGUGGACGGUUAUUUAGGUUAAUUCUUCUUUCUUUAUCUUGUUAAAAAUCCCUUCUUUUUUCUUUCUUGGAAGUGAUUUUGGAAAGUGAGGAUUUUUGUUUCCUUCUAUAUCUUGUUAAGUCCUGAAUGUUUUAUCGUGAGCCGGGGGUGUAUUGGAAACAAACCUCUCUAUCUCACCUCUAAGUUGGUGGUUAUGGGCUGCGUGGACUUACCCCUGACCCCACUUGGUGGGGAUAUACUGGGUAUGAUGUUGUUCUAUAUCUUUUUAAAAAUCAAAUAUUUUGUUGUUUUUUUGGUGUAUUGUAGCCAUAUUGGUGCAUAGAUGGUUGCCAGGUUCAAGAAAUUUGAAGAAAUCAGUGCAUUUGUGUCUACAAGGACUGGCUUUGGCUUGUGGGAUUUUUGGGAUAUGGACAAAAUUCCAUAGUAGAGAUGGGAUUGUGGCUAAUUUCUACAGUUUGCAUUCAUGGAUGGGUAUCAUUUGUGUUUCCCUUUUUGGUGCUCAGGUAUUUCUUCUGCACAUUUGGUUCCCUUUCCUUUUUAUGCUAUAUAUACUGCUAGGAUCAGUCGCAGGCUCAACAACCUCUUGCAUUCUGCAGCGGUAAAUUUCGGUAUAUAGACCUUUGUAGUUCUCCGAACCCUGCACAUAACGGGGGAGCUUAGUGCACCGGACUGCGUAUUUUUUAGCUAGGACUCUUAAAAAAUGCCCUUGUGGUUCGGCCCUUCCUCGGAUCUCGUGCAUAACAGGAGCUUUAGUGCACCGGACUGCAUGUUUUUUUUGCUAGGACUCUUUAAAAAUGCCCUUGUGUUCUGGCCCUUCCUCGGAUCUCGUGCAUUGCGGGAGCUUUAGUGGACCGGACUACGUAUUUUUUUUGCUAGGACUCUUAAAAAAUGCUCUUGUGGUCCGGCUCUUCCUCGGACCUCAUGCAUAGCGGGAACUUUAGUGCACCAGACUACCCUUUUGACUCUUAAAAGAUGUGGAUAACUGCAUGUCGGGUCCUCUCCGGAAGUAGUGACACGGGUUCUGCAACAAUUUUGAAGAGUCCGAGCAUCAUAGUUUUUCUGUCAGAUUCUUUAAAUUAUUGAAAUGUGAGAAAGAAAGAGAUCAGCUUCUGCAUAGAGUUUCAAGAAUGUCAUUUCUGAAAGUUGCCUUAUAUUUUGAGAAUGUAAAAUUUUUCAUCAGUAUUACUGUUUAUGCCUUUUAAGAGUAUCUUAUGUUCUACUAUUUAGUUGUUACUUCCUACAUUAUAGUUGUUUGGUGGCAUGUCACAUCUUUGAAAUUAGUAUAAACUCACUUAUUAGUGCAAUAAUUGUGCAUAGAGAAGCUUCAAUGUGGCCUAGAGAUUUGAUUGAUGUACUACGUGUUUCUUUGAGCACGGAGAUAUUUAAGAGGAUUUAGAAAUGGUCCUACUGUUUGGGUUUUGAAAAGUUGAUAUUUGCCUCCCAAUAGAUUAAGCAAAAAAGGGACUGAUGGGAAGAAAUUACCACUAGCUUUGGUCUAUGUUGCUCGGACGUCUUCAAAAAUGACGUUGGGUGCCUGCCGGAUCCUCCAAAAAUAAUGCAUCUUUGGAGGAUACGACACAUUUGGAACAAUGUUUUUGGCGAGGCCAAGCAAUGUAGCUUUUGGAAUGCUUAUAUGUGUCUCUUCUAUAACUUGGUAGUGCUAGUAAAUAUAUUUGGUCGAGGCUAUCGGCUAUCCUAUAUCCGGAUGUAAUAGGCUUAGGAUUUCAAUGGACUACACAUGCUUCAGGUUAGAGCAUUUAUGAGCUAUGAUGUUCGGAUCCUUCAAAAAUGCUGCCGGGUGGGUCAGAUCCUCCGAAAGUAAAGCAAUUUUGAAGGAUCCGACACAAGCGUGGUAGUAUUUUGGAGGAUCAAGCAACAUUGCUCAUGACCACAUGCCGCAGGUUUUAGCACUAAGAACCUUUUUGGAUAUAGCCAAGACUACAACAUACGGAUUCACAACUUCUUCUGCUCUGGAGUUCAAAAAGAGCGCAAUAAUGGAUCACGUAGUGAACUCACGAGGUAUAUCAAUCAUCUUCUAAAACAAAUGGUUCCUAUAUCUGUUUCACGAAGUCAUACACAUUACACUAUACUCAGUGAAAAAUAGUAUACACUACAUACUUGCGUUGUGAGAGUGGGAAGGGCUUAAUAGUGUUUCUUUGAUAAGGCGUGCGCUUAAAUUCUCGAUGUUCAAUUGGUUAUAAUUGCUUCUAGUCUUGUUCACAUUACAGUUUCACCUAGCAAAAGUUCAACUCCUGCAAGUUACAUUUUUGCUGAAGGAGAUUAUCAAGUAAAAAUGUCCACCAUGAAGUAAAGUAGAAGUUGAGCGGUGUUGCAGAAUAGUGAAAAAUAGACAUUCAAACUUGGCCUUACCGGCAAGUAUAUACUCCAACUUUGUGUACGCGCAUCCAGACACGUCAACUUGGUCUCAACUGGCAAUUAAACACCCCAACUUAUCUCUACGAAACUUUGAAUAUGUUUAAGGACUAGUGAAAAAGUCUAGCACAAUGUUUCUGUUUGGUAACUGGAAGAGAAGUUUAAUUACUUGUAAAUGUGUUUCAUGUUACUGCAGUGGUUGAUGGGCUUCUUAAGCUUUUGGCACAGAGGAGAAGUACGAAUGACAAGAAUACGUAUACUUCCAUGGCAUGUAUUCCUCGGCUUAUACACAUAUGGAUUGGCUGUAGCAACAGCAGAAACAGGACUUCUCGAGAAGUUGACCUUCUUGCAAACAAACGGAGCUGUGCAGAAACGCUGCACAGAGUCCAUGAUCGUUAAUGGCAUGGGACUCGGUUUAGCUCUCCUUAGCGGCAUGGUUAUCUUUGCUGCUGUGUUGCCAAAACAUCAAAUGUCACAUUCUAAGACUGUUUACUCUAGUAAUAAGCUGCAUUCUUAGUUUCUCAUACGUUGUGUAUACCGAUAAUUCUCAUGUAAAUACGCGGUGUUGUUUAUAAUAUGAAGAAGGUCCAAUAAGUUCCUUUUUUUUCAACCUUUCUGGCAAUUCAGUAUAUGGCAGUAUGUUGGUAAAGUUGCUGCCAUGUGAUCAGAAGGUCACGGGUUCAAGCCUUGGAAAUAGCCUCUGGCAGAAAUGCAAGGUAAGACUGCGUAUAAUACACCCUUGUAGUGGGGCUCUUCCCCGGACCCUCCGCAUAGCGGGAGCUUUAGUACACCGAGUUGCUUUUUUUUUUUUUUUUUUUUUUUAAUGUUUGUCUUACUCCUUUGGCUUGUUUGUGCUUUGCCAGGCUUUGUAAAUAUGAUUUUUGAGAAAUUUGCGCAAACAUAGGUAAGAAGAAAAGGUCAAAUUUGCCCCUGAACUUUGCUAACUGUCGAUUUAUCCUUAAGCUGAAUCCAUCAAUCCAUAAGGGCAAAAUCGAACCACUUUGGUAUCGACUGGGGUAGGAAUGAUACACGUUUUUAAGGGCAAAAUUAUUUCAUUUCGCAUAGUGUAGGAGUAUUGUUGACUCUUUACCAGAAGUGAAUCAGGAUUUUAAGUUUAUGAAUUUCGGAUCGUAAUUUUUUAUUUAUUUAUUGGGUCUUGUCUUCUUGAUAUAUUCUUUUAGGGGAUUCAUUUUAGUAUAAAUCUCCUAGUUUGUAAUUUUUAAAGAACUUUUUUUUUCUACUUUUAACGAACAAAUAUUAUACAGAAAAUAUAUCUAAUAAGGUAAUUAUAUCCUAUAAGUUCAAGUGAAAUUCAUCCUUUUUGAUUUGAUAAUUAUGAUGUACGAGUCAACUUGUAUUUUUAUCGAUUAAUCUACUAUAUAAAUACUUAUUGUUUGUUUAUAAUAUGAAUAACUUCAUUUAUCAAAAUUUCAAUAAAAAUAUUAAAAUCACCUUAGAUGAAAUUAAAACAUUGGUUGGUUGUCAUUAUAGUGAAUCCAUCUUUUACAAACAAACCAAAACAAAAAGCUUAGAGAAAUAGCCUCUCUAAAAAAUAAAAGCAUAUCAAAAGAGAAAUAGAUUUUUAUAAAAUGAAGGGAAAAAGAGAAGAAAAAAAAGAAAAAAGAGCAUCACAACUUUCUUCAUGUCUAACAAAUCUUUAUUUUCAAAGCUCAAAUUUUAAAAAAUAAACUAAUUUAUUUAAUUAUUUGAUAUAAAAACUUCACCAAUUCAAUAAAAAAAUUUCAAGUUCAAAAUUUUUAGAGCCAAAAAUACUUAACUAAUUCCUUUUAUCUUUGCAAGUUCCGAUAAAUAAAUUUAUCCGUUACAUGUAUCUCAUUAAAAAAUAAGUAAAAUUUACCCCACAUAACUAUACCUGAACACUAAGGGAUCGUUUGGUAGUUAGUAAAGAAGCACCUUAUUCAUGUUUGUAUUAAUUUACGUUUAGCUCGGUAGCUAGUUAGAAAAUAAAUUAUUCAUGUAAGAAUUGUAUACGUCAUUUAAUUUGCAAUUUUAAAACCCACACAACUAAUAUAUGUAUAAGUUAUAAAGGAAUUAUUGUACUUACUUACUAAUCCCGAUAUAUAUACUAUAUGCACAAAACUAAUAGACACAAUACAUAAAUACGCCAUUUAACUUACUUCAGAUUACAUUAUGACCUCCAACUUUUGAUGUGCACAAAUAGAUACUUAAACCUGUAUAAAGUUGAACAAGUAGACACAUAUAUCCUAUGUAGCAUCCUACGUAUCUAAUUCUUGUCUUGCAUAGCGUCCUACGUGUAUUGUGCCACAUAGAACGUAUAUAUCUACUUGUUCAACUUUAAGGUCAUACAUGUAAUUUGAGGUUAAGUUAAGGAAUUUCUUAUGACUGUAUUUCUAAUACAUAACAUAAUUCUAACCUGCAAUCGAACGAAAAUUAAAAUUAUUUAAAAAGUUACUAAUUCAGAUUUGCAUAAAACCCAUUUUCAUUUUUUUAAUUUUUUUUUUAUGAAAAAACAUUUAAAGAAAGCACUCUACUGAGAGCACAAGAUUCCGUUGAUAGCAGUUGGGUGAACUCGAAUUGAUGCUUCUUUCAUACUGAAAGAUGAAGAAAUUCUACUCCAAAAUUGAAAUCUAAAACCCUACAAACACAUUUUACAUACACACAAACCUUAAACCCUAAAAAUACAAUCAAGAAAUGUGUUCUUCUAUAACCCCAUUUCCACUUACCUUUCCACCGAAAUACCCUUUAAUUAACAAUCAAGAUUCCAUUUUUACCUCACACCCAUUUAUCCUAAAGACUAGAAUUCCUAAGUUUACUCUUUCUGCUUCAGUUUCUGAGAAAGUUGAAGAGGUUUCUUGGGGUGUGUCUGAUCCAAAUAAUGCUGAAUUUGAUGUGUAUAAUGGUUGGGACUUUGUUCAACCUCCUGUUUUCAACAAGAAGAAAAAAGGUACUAGCAUCUUUUUUUUUUAAUUGUAAUUUUAUUUUUGAGUUUUUGUAGCUGAUUAAAUGAUUUUUUUGAGGUUUUGGUAUGGAUAAAAACUUAAUCUUGUGUUGUUUUUUUAGAAUUGGGGGAAUUAAGGGUGUGUUUGGUAUGAAGGAUUUCCUAGUGUUUGAUAAUUAAGUAAAAAAAUUCAAUAUCUCAAGAGGUCACGGGUUCAAGCCGUGGAAAUAGCCUCUUACAGAAAUUGCUAACAAUAGACCCUUGUGGUCCCUGUGAAUAGCGAGAGUUUUAGUGCAUCUGACAAGAAAUGAUUCUAUGUGUUAUACGUGGACAAAAAAAAUCAAGAAAUGUGUUCUUCUAUAACCCAAUGCUGUCUUAAUCCUCGACCUUCACAAAUCAAAGGUCAUAUCCUAGGUGAGUUGAAAGUGCAACAUGUCUUGCAUAAUCAUCUACCCCUACUCAAGCCCUCGACGACCAACCUCUUGAACCUUUAUGCCGGGGCAUAUGCACAUCUGCUCUUCAUAUGUCUGAACCAUCUCAACCUCACUUCCUGCAUCCUAUCCUUCAAGCGACUCCAACCUUGGCCUAAAUAACUUCAUUCCUAAUCUUAUCUCUCCUAGUAAUCCCACACAUCCAUCUCAACAUCCUCAUCUCUGCUUGCCGCAGUCAUCUUCUAGAUAUGGAAGUUCUUGAGUAGCCAACACUCUUGCCUCAUAUAACAUAGUCGACCUAACUACCAUUCGAUUGACGGGUCAUUCUUAUCACACAUAACUCCGGAUGCGAGCCUCCAUUUCAUCCACCCCGCCCCAAUACGAUGCGUGACAUCCUCCUCAAUCUUCCCAUUACCUUGGAUAACGGGUCGUGUGUACUUGAAACUUGCUCUCUUGGGGAUGACUAGAGGACUUUUUGAAGGUUUGAUAUGCAUGAAAUUUUGAUCUUGUGAUUUGUUUGAGAAUUAAGAGAAUUACAAACUGGAUACUUGCAGGUUUGUCGAAAUUUUUGGUUAUUGGUAUGUCGGUGUCUCUUGCUGCUGGACUUGGUGUUGCUUCCUACUUUUCACUAUACCAGAAAGGUGAUACUUUUGGAAAUUUUUGGAUUGCUUUGUUAGUUGGGUAGUUUCUAGUGCUGUUGUUCUUUAUAGAAGUGUAAUUCAACUUUUCGUGUACUUUGUGCAUCUUAUAGGAUUCAAAUUUCAAUUCACUGAGCCAUUCCAUGGUUCACAUGUUAGUUUAGUACCUAAUGAGGCUUCUAAUAAGGGAGAAAAUGGAGAAACUGCUGAUUUGUCAACGGAAAGUGAUCAAAUUUCUGAAAUGGUGGAGGGAGUUCCUGAUUUCGAUGAUAAAAAUGUUGUCUCGGGUAAGGUCUAGAGUUUAAUGGUUCUGAACGCCACCAAACUUUUUUAUGUUGUUUGAUUGUUCAAAUAAGCUUUGGUAUGAGUACCUUAAUAUUGCAAUAGUCUCGAUAAAAUUACUUUUAAGAAAAGCUAUCGUGUUACAUUCUUCCUUUGGUCCAGUCUCAUGGAAAAUGCUAAUAUUUGCGUAAAAUAUCUGAAUCAUGUAACGAUACCUCUUUAAAGUUCUUAUUUGGGUUGGGAGUAAUUUGCUUAUUAUGGAAUCUCUUUGUUCUUUGGAAAAUAGUUGGUUUGCUGUUUCCCUUGCCCCCUUCCCAUCCUUUGAUGUACAAUUGUAUACCGGUAUGCUAAUUUAAUUUAUUUAGAACCUAAGGGUGCGUCCUAGUGGUCAAUGAUGUGAGUGGAGGUCUCAGAUUCAGAUUCAAAUCUCAGAGGAAGGCAAAAACAUUAGAUUCGCAUCUCCCCCAGCAUCGCUGGGCAGAAUUACAUGUUUUUUUGGGGGUGGGAGGUAGCAGAUACUCAAUGAACUGGUCGAGGUUUACGCGAGUUUCCCCGAAUAUCACCAUCAUCCAAAAAAAAAAUUAAGCUAUUUAGUCUUUUCCUUUUUGGGCCAAACUUGUAAACUUUUCCAUCUACCUUUUUGUUUUGAGAACUUUCUUUAGUGAAGACAAAUUCAUAAUACAAAGGAACUAAGAGGCCUUGACUAAUUACUGAAUAUUGUUCUGAUCAGUUAUGAUAGACCAUAGCUUUGAACUUUCUUUUGUAGAUAAAUUGGUCCUUGAGCUUUUUGACAAAUAUAACGUGCUGAAUUUAUGUUGGAAUCCACUCCUUGGAUGAAAGCAAGGAAAGAGAUUAAAUUAAGAAAGAAAUUGUAACGCCCCAAAUCUGUUACUCGAAACGCUACACGGUGCUCAUGACCCCGAAGGACCAAAAGUUAACCCAUGACUGAUAUCUAUACCUGGGCACUGCAUAAUAUACUGUAUAAAUGCGGAAAUAAAGGCUGAAAGGCCAUAAGGUUCAAAACUGUAACAUAACUGAUAAAACAUAACAUCUGGAGGGGAUAUGAAAUACCCAAAACAACUGAAAUUACUGUCUGAACAUGCUAGUCCGUAAGCCUCUAAACUGUCUGAAUAAGGAGUUGAUGGGACAUGUCCCCAACUAACUCCAACUACUGAAAUAAAUUAAUCAAUGAGAUAAUAAAGUAAUGGUCAUGUCCUCGAAGGAUGAGGACUCACUGCUAACUCUGACUGUUGAGACUGGAAUGCUACUGAUGCUCUGGAGCUCAUACUUUUGAACCUACGGUAUAAAACACCAUAGCGCAAAUGCAUCAGUACGUUUGAAUCUACUGGUAUGCAUGUGAGGUAGGCUGAAUGCAAAGGGUUGACAUGCAUGAACUAUAUUAACUGACUGGAUAACAUGAACGUGAGAAUACAUGCAUGAAUACAUAGUAAUUGUAACUAAGUUCGUGAUAACAUGAUUACUGAAUCUGAGUACUGAUAACAUGAGAUACUGAUACUGAGCGACUGUAUCUGAUAGUCUAGGUUGUGAUGGAACUAGCUGAGUUCCGUACUGUUCUGAGUUGACUGUAUCUGACGGUCCUAAAUUCUGUAGAACUAUCUGAGUUCUAUUACUGAGACUGAAUGACUGUAUCUGAUGGUCCUGAUUCUGUAACUGAAACUGUGGGAAGUAGUCAUCUAACCGACAUGCCCCAAAUAAAACAAUAUAGUUGAGGUGGGGUCCAAUCUGUAACCCCAAUUGGAAGGGUGUCAAUACCGCGCCACUGGUAAGGACAAGCUGUGGGUAACCCUCAUCUGACAGUGUCCCCAAAAGAGAACGGUGGGGCCCUCAUCUGACAGUGCUUAACCACCUCAUCAACCCUCAUCUGACAGUGUUGAUGUCUCAACCUAUGCUGGCUACAUAGUUCUGGAACGCAAGGAUGACUUCUAAGAAUCACACCCUCAUCUAACAGUGUGUGUUCCCAUCCUUGGGUUCACUCGGUGCUAAUUCCUACUUCCAUCUGAAUAGACACUGAACAUGAUUAACUGAACUGGACUAAACUAAAUUAACUGAGUUCCGUUGACUGACAGAACACUACUGAGAUUAUUGAGUUUUCCUGAGUCACAUGACUGACUGAAUUUCUAUGAACAUGACUCGACUGAGAGUAUCUUGAAAACAUGACACUGGCUCUAGGCACACAACUAAAUUGUCGGGUACAAGUACCCCCAGGACUCGAUAGCAUGAAACUGACAAAGCAUGACUUUCUUGAAUACAUGACCAACAUCACAAUCCAUAAUACAAUAAGUUGGAGAAUUCAUGAAGUACAAGUUCUAAAGCACCACAAUGGCCACAGAUAUAUCCAUAAUUCAUUGACUAAGACAUUUCAUCAAACACUUGACAUGCAUGAACUUGUACAUGAAUGGGGAUUUCAUAUUAUUUAUACUAGUAUGACACUUUCCCUUCACAUAGGCAUUUAAUCAAACACAUGGGGAGCAUACUUUGAUUAUACCAUUAUCAAUGCAUCUAAUUGUCAUGGUUGCAUGAAUAAUUUUGCAAGUUUGAAGGGUUUAUCAUGAUUAUUAUACAAAUCAUCACAUACUAGGGUCAAUCAUUGGAAUAUGUAAUUUAAAACAUGAAUCAAAAAAUACACAAAUCUUGGGUUUUGAAAAGAUAUUCUUGAGCUUCAUGGGUGAAAAGGAUCCAUGAAUCAACACAUGACAUACCUGGGUUGUGAGUUUCUUGAAGUUCUUAGACUUGAAGAACUUGGAAUCUCUUAGUUUCUUGAAGAAGGAUUUGGAUCUUGUUCUUGGGGAUUAUCUUUGAGAGAAAACCCUAAUUUGAUGUUGUAGAUGGAUAAUGAACUUAUGAGCUUUGAUCUGAUAUAAUUAGGGGUUAAAACGGGUGGAAAAGACCCAAAUACCCUUUUAAAAACGACUUUAAAAUAACUGAACGAACUAUGCGACGGUGGGUGCGACGGUCCGUUGGUCCUGACCGUCGCACCUGGGCAGAAUAGGGGUUCACUGUCUCUGCUGCGACGGCUUGGGCGACGGUCCGUCGGCCUGAGCCGUCGCCCUUAGGCAGAAGGUGGUCUCACUGCCUCCACUGUGACGGUCAGUCUCUAGCUCGACGUUCCGUCGGCCCUCAUCAUCGCACCUGGGCAGUUUUGACUGCUUUCUGUAAAAUGGCCAUAACUUUCUACCCCGAUACCGUAUUUUGACGAAAUGGGUAUCGAUGGAAAGCUUAUUCAAUUUCCUACUCAACAAAAAGUGAAAAUCUUAAAAAUUCCACGUGUAUAAAAGUGGAUUCAUCUUUCAAAGUAAGUCUUUGACAUUCUUGGGAUGAUUUCAAGCUGGGUAGAAGUACGGAGUAUUACAGAAAUAAUUAGUGUCGGACCUAAAUAAGGCUCGAUAUAGACUAUUUUAACUGGAAGGAACAGCAGAAAAUACAUGCUGUAUAGAGAAGGAAGCAAAAUUCCUACCAAAAGAGCUGGAACGGUAUGCAAUUGAAACUGUGAAAGCAAAGUCACAGCUGCAAUUGAACUGAGUAAUAACUGAAGUAAGAGAUAAGUUUUUUAUGAUAAAGGCCAUCUCUUUAUAGCUACUUAAAGCCCAAGGCAGAUCCUGUGAAACCAAGACUACUGUUCUAGCUAAUAAACAGAUAAGAGUGGAAUAACUUGCAAGUCUUAAACCAACUAGGAAACUGAUAAAAUAAAAGAACCCGUGAAACAACUUGAAUCAGAUAGACAAGUCAAUAAUUACUUAUAAUGCUCCUCUAAAGUAUACACCAAUAAUAUCCAGAUUUCUUUUCUGUUCUUUUCUUUGCGUCAGUAAAAGAAACUUGUACGGCUAGUUCUAACAUGCAAGUUUAAGUUUACAAAUUUCAUUUUUCAUUUUAUUCUCAUCUGAAAGUUGAAAUAGAAAUGAUAUGUGAAGACAAUUGAAUAGAAAUCCUCAUUCAAGGCAGGUCAGCAUCCACCCAUGUUAUCUCAUUUUAUUUUGAGCUCGAUUUGGUGCCAAUAUUAUCUCAUUUUGUUUCUCUUUUAUUGAAUUACCUAGAAUCAUAACAGUCCUGUUCAUUUAACUCUGAUUUUAGUUUCAUUCCUCACUGGCCUAAACUUGUGGUUUGUUGUCAUUUUGAAGAGACACGCCCUGUUACAACUAAAGCAGUAACUAGUGGAGUACUUGGACGUAUUACGAUUCCCUUUGCUGUAGAUUCUACUCAAGAAGAAGCUCUUUUUGUGUUGAAGAAACUCGAGGUAUAGUUGCCUGACCUUUAUUCCAUUUGAGAGUAAUUAGCUUUCCUGCUGUACUUGUACAAUUUUUUAUGCAAAUCUAUGUCAUAUUAUGGACUUAGUUAUAGUUCAUUUACUUAUAGUGCUUGACUGAGUUUUGAACUACACGAUAGCUAUAUAACUUUGUAUUGCACUAUUAAUUCAGACCAGAAGCAACAUAUUUUCCCAAGAUAUGUGAUGUAGCAUAGGUACCGGAUGGCUUUGAUGUUUAAAAGUUAAUUUUGGUCAAAAUUUGAUGGCCAGCUUCAAGAGGGAACCUUUGCUGUGUGUCCUGAAUCAUGAGUAUUUCAUAUUUCCUUGUGUUGAGUGUGAGAUCGGAAGCUUGGGGAAGUACAGUAACAACCUCAAGAAGGCAGCCCAGAGAAGUGAUGUUGCCUAGAUACUGCUGUUAGAAAAACAAAAUGUAAUUAAGCUAGUAUGUUGCAUAUUCAGACUGGACUAUGAUUCCUUCCUUAUCUCUCCUUUUUAUGAUAUAUCCAGGACUAUGGAUAAUAUGUUUUUUCCAGUGAAAACUAGCCUGUUAUAUUUUGUAGUCUUUGUUGUCGUUAUUAUGAUUUUAAUUGGUAAUGUUAUUUUCCCUCUUUGUCUUUCACCCUUCAAUCAAUGCUUUAGGUUUGGUUCUAAACAUGACUUAGCAAUUAUGCUGUGAGGUAUAAUUGGUACUAGGCUGUCAUAUUGUAUUUUUAUUGCCAGCUAGUGACUUUACGCUGUAGCGCUAUUUGUGCCUCUCUCUCUCUCUCUCUCUCUCUCUCUCUGACUUUUCGGUGGUUUAGAUUCAGUUUCAAGCAUAGUUUCACCAUUAUAAUCUAAAGUAUACAGAUCAUUGAAGAUGAUGUUAAAGCAGAUGAAUUAUGUACAAGGAGGGAAUAUGCAAGAUGGUUAGUUAAAACAAACACACAACUGGAAAGGUAGUUUUGGUCAACAACAUUUAUUUGUGCAGUUCUUUUGUUAGAAGAAGAUGAAAAAUUCGAGUACCACUGACUAGUUUUUCUGACCAUUUUCUUUUUGACUUCUAGGAGUAGAAAGCAUCGGAUAGUUCCAUCAGUUGUGCUUUCUGGUUCCACAAUUGCUGCCUUUGAUGAUGUGAGUGUUGAUGACCCUGAUUUUGCGACCAUUCAAUGUAAGCUUGACGUGUUGUUACCCAACCAUAGUAUAUAUCAUCAUUGAAAGAGCUCAGUUGAUCCUUAAAAUUUUGUUAUGCAGCCCUAGCUGAGGCUGGUAUUAUUCCUAGCAAGCUGUCAGAUAGGGAGUUUGCUUCCACUUCAAAUGUUUCAGAAGAUCAGGGCGUCUGUUUUCUCCCGGACAGGUACUAGGAUGUUCAUCUCCCCCGCCUGUCCCUUCAUUUCAUUUCUCCCUUUGUUAUCUUUGUCUAUAGUUCUACUUGCGUUAAUGCCUGUUUUGCUUUUUCAGAUUUUUGUCUCGCCAAGAUUUAAUCAGUUGGAAAGCCAAAAUAGAGUAUGAAGUCAUGCCAGGGAUAGAUAAAGAGGUAGGGGAAAAGCCACACUCCAGCGCUUGAUUCAACUUUACUGAGAUUUUGAUGUCCUUUAUCUGCCUGAAUUAUCUGACUCUGUUUACAGUUCAGAUAUCAAGGAAGAACAUCGGUUUUCUGGAUGUAAGAGACAUCAAUUCUGAAGCUUUGGUGGAACUUUUUGUGGAUUUACGGGCUGGCGAACAGAGCAUUCUUCGGAGAGUUUUUGGUCUCUUUCUUUCUCUGAUUUGGCACUACUGCACAAAGAAUUAGAUAUAUAAGAUGCACACGGCAAAAAUGUCACCACUUCCAUGUCACCCAUGCAUUCUUUGACAUGAUCAAACAUCUUUCUAGAUUAUCUAAUUCACUCAAAUCAUUUGGGACGGGGAGAAAAAUGAAAAGAUAUAGGUGGAAUUUAAUGCAUGCCAGACAGUUUUAAGUAAACGGAAGCUAUGAAUUAAGAAGUUUGUUGAUCGCCUACGUAUGAUCAUUUACAGGACAGGCAAAACGAUUCCAGCCUGAUAAACCAUCCACGAAGGCUCAGGCAGCUGUUUCACUGACAAGCGGGAGAAUGGAAGAAUAUAUACAAAGUGAACUGUCAAAACUUGAAGCAGAAAAUUUAUCGAGACUAAUGGAAAUGGAAGAAAUCAAGUCGGACCUACUUGAUAGAGGAGAAAUACAGAGGAUUUGGGAGAGUAAAAUGGAAGCAGAAAGAAGUCGUGGUUUGGAGGUAGAGAGUGAUUAUCUGGCUUCUGUUAGAGAUCUAGAACAGGAAAAGAUUGUACAAGAGAAUGCUCGAGCUGAACUUCUGAGGCAGAAGGCAGCUCUAGACUGUCAGAAGCAGCUGCUUUCUAGUCUUAAGGAAGAGGUCGAUGAGAUGUCCGAAAGGCUUGCACGUGAGAAGUUUGAGCAUGUGAAUGAGCAGUGUGAUUUAAGUGGUACAAUUCAUGAUUUGCAGGUUAAGCAUGAAGCCGUGCUUGACACAAAAUCUAUGUUGGAAGCUGAGAUUGAGGCUUUGCGAAAACUGAGGUACAAAUAUUUGUUAACUGUGGCUUUUAUUUACUUCUUUCUUUUUUUUUUGGGGGAAAAUGGCAACAUCUGUUAACUUUGUCUUGUUAAAUACUUCAAUAGGGAAUGGAGUUUCAACAUGUAGAUUUUAAGUGAAUAUUAAAUAGCACUUAAGAAGUUUGACUAAUCUGGCUAAGGCAUACAUCUUCUGCAUAGUGCAUAAAAGUUUACUUAUUUGUUAAGAAGUUGAUGAAGCAGCUUAAACCAAGGGCAUCUUCUACUGACAAACAAGAUAAUUGUACUCCGGAAAGAUUUUUUGAUGAAUUACUCUGGGAACAUAGUUAGAGAGAUUGUCUGAAAGUAGAUUAAGAUUUAAAUGAAAGAUCAUUUUUCUUGUGCCACUUCAUUCAGAAAAUUAAGGAUGGUGUUGGCAGAGAGGUUGAUAACUUAUUAGCACUUGUGGUUUGUAAUUGACAUGAAAUUAUGCAAUGAAAACCAAAAACUUAGUACUUCCUUUGUGAGUUGGCCUGGGAGGGAAUGGAGGCAUAAAGGGUGGGGUGGCACUGUACAAAAGAGCAAAAAAUACUUGUCUCAUGAUAGGGGAAUUGUCUUUUCCCUUCUAGACUAAGUUACCCCUUGGAUGCAAGAUUAUUACAGAACUAUUAGAAUAUGCAGAAUCAUUGCUAAGGAUAUACUUCUGCUUGUUUUGGACUGUUAAUAUGGCUCCAAGCACAGCCUUUCUGCUGAAACCUGUUACCUUUCUCGAAAAAAGAUUAAUUACAUAGGUGAAGGGUUUCGCAGGAUUCAGCCGAAUUGCUAAGUCCAUUAAAAAGAUAUUAGACGUUCUAAAGAGACUCGAACAGACGGAGUGCUGUUCUCUGAAUCACGAAUAUGCUAAUCGCGGGUAUGUUUAUCUUUGAUUUUUUACUCCUUUAGGGGAGUAAUCUUGAGAUGAGGAUAGUGGCAAGGAUGCAACGGUUAUAUAUUCUUGCUAGAACUGAUGCAUACUGCAUACGUAAUUUACACUAGUUUCCAUGUUUUCACAUUGAACUUCCAUUGGAUUGUUUGAUUAAAUUCUUUAGUCAAGCUUGAUAUUGUGAAGUUCAGGCCACUCUUGGUGACGGAGAACUAAUUCUAUCGAUCUGAUGGUGCAGUUUCUAUUCCAGUUUACACUUAUUUAUCAGCCUGAAGAUAUAGAAAUUUUUACUCCGGAUAGUGUUUAGGUGGUAGUUGACAAUGCAUGUUUUCUUUUGAAACAGAUCAUGGGUUGAGGAUGAAGCGAGGAGAAGUCAAGCUCGCGCGAAAGUCCUUGAGGAGGUUGAACGAAGGUGGAAAUGGGAGGAUCAAUAGGAGGGAGGGGUCCCUAUAAGUUAAAUAAUCCAGUUGUUUUGAUGUACAUUUUGUCAUUGUCAUCAUCAACUUUCCUCUUUAAAUAUUUUCUUGGUACCAUUUUGUAAACUAUUCAAAGAGGAGUUGAUCUCUUCUCUAUGUUUCAACUAAUUUUUAUGGAUGGUACUUCUUGAUCUCUAUCACUAGCAGAAAGAAAUUUCAAGAAGCUGAUGAGUAACUUUUUGUUGUAUUUUGAAGAAUGAAUUUGUUUUUAUCUUCCCUAACAUAAGGGUAAUUUUUUAUUUCUUUUACCCUUGUUGUUGAGGGUCUAUCGGAAACAGACUCUCUGCCUGGUAGGGGUAAGGCCUUUGUAUGUUGUUCUUAGUGAUCAAAUUCCAAUCUAAUUUCAGGGACCUAAUAGCUUUACAUCCAAAUAUUUUUGAUUUCCUAUUUAGUGUUCAUUAUUCGCAUUAAAGUCUCGACUAAUUUGAAUUUGUACACGUGAAAUACACUUAGGGGAAAAAGUGGUUGUUAAUAUAAUUUUUUCGUGCUUAGAUCGAUUCAAGACUCUAGUUAAGGAUGGAAGAAUCUUAUCUCUCCCGAGAGACCCUUUAUUGGUAGAUCAUAUAGUCAUCCAUUUUGAAAUUCCGACUAAUUUGAAUAUGUACCAUAUAAAAGCCCAUUUAAGAGGGCUACACCCAAGUUUGUUGGUGAAGAGUUUUUUGAUUUUCUCACUGAGACAGUUUUUUCUUUUUUGGGGGGUUUCAUCCAAUAUCCGGUACCCGCAUUGGAGCUCGACUAAUUCGAAUUCGCGCUGGAUAGGGCCUCAUUCGGGGGUAGCGGUCCUUACCAAGGAUUUUUCCAUACUCAAGGCUCGAACCUGAGACCUCUGGUUAAAGGAGGAGCAACUCAAUCCACUGCGCCAUAUCCAAAUGAAACAGAAGAGACAAAAAAAGCUAUAUAAUUUAGGCCAAAAAGGGACUUGUGUUGGGCAAUAUUUGUCAAAUUGUUCAAAGUUAUCACUAAUCUUUCUUUUAUAGGCUAAUAUAGUCCAUACAUAAGAAUCCAUACAAGCUAAGGCAGAAAUUAUUGUCAAAUUUUGCUCUUUUUUGCAUUACCUCAACUGUAUUGGUAGGCUAACAGCUCAACAUUUGGACCCCAUCUUUUAAUAUCACUAAUCAAGAAAUUAUGUUAAUCUUGAUUUAGAGAUUUAAAUUAAUAUAGUAUAUUCAAUUAGUUGGCUACAAUGAACUAAUUAUUGGACAUAACAGGCAAGAUACACUAAUUAGGUGCAUAUAUUUGUUGACCAAUCCAAGAAGUCCAAUUCUCCAAGGUUGAGAUAAAAUAAGUAAUAAAGCUUUAGUUACAUAUUAUUAUUUAACUAGAUAAUAUAUUGAGUUCCUUCAAUAGUUAAAAACUUACCAUCAAAGUUUGUGGUGAAAUAGUAAGUAUUCGAGGUCUUGCGUUAGAGCUAGAGCUUUCAGUAUGAAGUCACCUUUGGUAGGAAGCGCUUUACCUUCAACAUGAAACUUUCCGAUACAAAUCUAAAUUAAUUAGACCCCAAAGUGGGUACCAAACAACAACAACAACAUACCCAGUGUAUUCCACAAAGUAUAGUCUGGAGAAGGCUAAGUGUACACAGUCCAUAUAACAACCUCAUAAAUGAGAUAGAGAUAUUAUUUUCGAUAAAUUCUCACUCAAAAAAAGUAGAUACCAAAGACCGACUAAAUUUUUUAAAAAAAUAAUAGUAGAAAAGAAUAUGGUGAAAAAUUGACUCUUGUGGUCUGUAAUCUGAGUUCCACCUGCAUAAUUGGAGAGCCAUAAAUACCUUUAUUAGCUGGACAAUGUCAAAGUUUAAUUGGACAACAUUCAUGCAUUAGAGACAAAUUUUUACUCCAAUUCUUUACCUUUAAAGUUUUUAACUAAAUUUCAUAGUUACUAUUUUCUUUACCUCUAUGUUUCUCUGCUUAAAUAUCUAACUGAUUCGAACCCAUAACAAACAUAUAUAACCUCAUUUCAUCUCAUUUAUCGAACAUAUUUGAGUCAGACUAAAUUCACGUUCGCAUUGAAAUAUCUCAUAAGGGAGAUAAAAGGUUCCUUAACAAAAGUGAAUUUUAUAUCAAAGGGCUUGACAAGCUCUAUUAUUAUCAGACAUCAUAUUGGAGUCAAACCAAAUCUGAUUUCGCACUGAAAAAUCUCACAGACUGAUAAACCGCUCGACACUACCUAACAAACACGACUUUAUAUGUAGGGCUUAAAGGCUUUUGAAUAAAAGUACUUAUCACUCCACGAUAGUCAUCCAACGUGGUAACUAUAUAUAUAUAUAUGGGGAGAGAAAAAGUCAGAGAAAGAGAGAGACCUUGAGUGAGAAUGCAGAAAUAUUGGCUAGCAGCUGUUCCCAAGUUCAUAUUUUUACUGUACUCCCAAGUCCCUUUCAGCUUAAAUAUUCCUCAAAUAUACAAUUUAUACAACUUCUAGUCCCACCCCAUAAAUCCAAAAAAUGUCAAUCUUCUUUGGCCAAAAACUGUCCACUCAACAAACUAGUGGUUCCUAUGUGUAUGUUUUUGACAGUUUUUGUAUUAAAAAAACAAACUUUUUCCCAUUCUUGAUAAGAUAAUAAUACUUGCCCUUCAAGAAUUGCACUAUUUUUGCUUCAAAAAGUGAUUUUUAGACUAUUUUGAGUUGUGGGGUGUUCUUGUUUUUUCCCAUUUUUGAUGAGGUUAUGGAGUGAUUUUUGAGCUAUGGGGUUUUAUAAAAAAUGGGUUGGGAUUAUUUUGUGUUGUUAAAUGGGCUGAAGUUUGAAAUUUUUGACAUUGAAAAGAUACCUACAUGAUUGUUAGGGUAGGUUUAGUGGUUGCUGCUUCUAUAGCUGCUUAUGCAGUUAAGCAGAUUAAUGUAAAACCUCCAAAGUCAUCAUCCAAGAAAUCAGGUAAUUUUCUUGGUCAGUUGUGUGUUUGAGUUUCUUGAGUCGAGGGUCUAUCGGAUAUAGUCUUUCUACCUCGUUGGUAGGGUUAAGGUCUGCGUAGACACUAUCGUUUCCAGACCUCAUUUGUGGGAUUAUAUGUUGUUGUUGUUGUUGUUGUGUAUUGAAUUUCUUGAGUUGAGGGCUAUUGAAAACAGUCUUUCUACCUGACAAGGUAGGAGUAAGGUCUACAUACAUACUGCCUUUCCGGACCCCAUUUAUGGGAUUACACUGGAUAUGUUCUUGUUGUUCUUGUAGUUGUAUAUUGGAUUUCUUGAGUCGAGGGUCUAUCGGAAACAAUCUCUCUACCUCCCAAGGUAGGUGUAGGGGUAAGGUCUGCAUACACACUGCCCUUCCCAGACCUGACCCCACCUGUGGGACAUUGGGUAUUGUUGUUGUUGUUAUUGAAGGGGAGUCUUGUAUUAACUGUUAAAGUUGUCAUAUAACUAGGAGGUCAUGAUUUCAAGUUGAGGAAUCAGCCUCUCGCAUAAAUGUAAGUUAAGGCUGCGUAUAAUAAACCUUUGUGGUUCGGCCCUUCCCCGGAUGCGCACAUAGUGGGAGAUUUAGUACACCAAGAUGCCCUUUUAUGUUGUUGUUGUUGUUGUAUAUUGAAUUUGCAAUGUAUGAUUGGUUUUCGAUAUUGAUACAGUGUAAAGAUUCAAUUUUUAACGGAAUAAUUCAUCCAAAUGAGUGAUCAGAGAUUGUUCUUUUGUGCCUAAUUGAUUUUUAUGUUUUCUUAUGUAUUUGGUUAUUAGGAAAUGGUGAAGAAUUGCCUGAACAACGAGGCUAUGGAGGUGAUGAGAAGGAACAGCUCGUGUAUUCGACGGAUGGCCUCAAAGAAGUGGUUGUAAGUAUAGAGAAAUUUGUGUACUCUUUGUUUGGUUAAUAGUGUUGAUAUCUCCUUUAGCAACAAUUUGAUACUGAGUUAUAGUGUUUGUUUCAAUAUUUUUUGGAUGUUAUAGUGAAAUGGUGUUAGAGAGAAUAUAAUAUAACAUAACAUGAAAGAUUGGUUCCGCAGAAAGUAUGACUGAUAUGGUGAAAUGUUGUUAUAGAAAGGUCUGACUGUUUUUGGAUUUUGUUUCGUUUGGUGACUUGUAGGAUGAGGAAGAAGAGAAAGAAGAAGUUAAAUUAAUCAAUGGAAUUAUAAAUCCAGCACAGGGUAACCAGCUUGAUCUUGAUGAUGAUCUUUUCCCUGAAUUCGAAGAUCUUUUAUCCGGGGAGAUUGAAUUUCCGUUACCAAGUGACAAGUAUGAUACAGGAAGAGAAGAGAGAGAGAAGGUUUACCAAACUGAGAUGGCCAACAACGCUAAUGAACUUGAAAGAUUGCGAAACCUUGUUAAGGAACUCGAGGAAAGGGAGGUGAAGCUUGAAGGGGAGUUGCUUGAGUAUUAUGGUUUGAAGGAACAAGAAUCAGAUAUUCUCGAGUUACAAAAGCAGCUCAAAAUUAAGACUGUUGAGAUUGACAUGCUCAACAUCACGAUAAACACGUUACAGGCCGAGAAACAAAAGCUUCAAGAGGAGCUUUUUCAUGGAGCUACUGCUAGGAAAGAUCUAGAAGCUGCUAGAAGCAAGAUUAAGGAGCUGCAAAGGCAGAUGCAACUCGAAGCUAACCAAACGAAAGCUCAGCUGUUGUUGCUAAAACAACAUGUUACUGGACUUCAAGAAAAGGAAGAGGAAGCUUUCAAGAGAGAUUCCGAGGUUGACAAGAAACUUAAACUUGUGAAGGAGUUGGAAGUGGAGGUUAUGGAGCUUAAGAGGAAGAACAAAGAACUUCAGCAUGAAAAGAGAGAGUUGGUUAUUAAAUUGGAUGCUGCUGAAUCUAAAAUAGCAAAGCUUUCUAAUAUGACAGAGGUAAAUUAUAACUCUUGAUACCACUAUUUUCAUGUAAACUGAUCAAGUUUAGGACAAUAGCCAUAUUCUGAUAUCUUGUUAUUAUCAUAAUUGUGAUGGUAGAUAUGCUUUUGCUGUUUCUCAUGCUCUUUAAUUCCUUCUAGUUUGACCAAUGGCGGAGCUAAGAUAUUGAAUUUAUGGGUUCGAAAUCUAGAAAAGAUAGUUUACUGGGUUCUGGAUAAAGUAUUUAUACAUAUUAAGUAAAUUUUGAAAAACAAAUGCAAUGUUUGGACCAAAGCUAUUAGGUUCUUGCCGAGCCUAUAGACAGGCUUAUAGCUCCAUCCCAAAUUUUGAUAGUUGUUUUUUGCUCGCACCACUGAAUAAUUGGAGAUUCUCAGCUUCUAAUGAGAAUGAUUGUGUGAUGUUUUUGGUUAGUGUGUGAACUGAUGGUAUGUAAAUUCCUGACCUUUUUUUGGCAUGCUGCUGCAGAAUGAACUGGUUGCUCAGGUGAGGGAAGAAGUAACUAAUUUGAAGCAUACAAAUGAAGAUCUUCUAAAACAAGUAGAAGGACUUCAAAUGAACAGAUUCAGUGAAGUUGAAGAGCUAGUGUAUCUUCGUUGGGUCAAUGCAUGCUUAAGAUUUGAACUUCGGAACUACCAAACACCUCAAGGAAAAGUAUCGGCUCGUGACCUCAGUAAAAGUCUGAGCCCAAGAUCUCAGCAGAAGGCCAAACAGUUGAUGUUAGAAUACGCAGGAUCAGAACGUGGGCAAGGAGAUACAGAUCUUGAAAGCAAUUUUUCUCAGCCAUCUUCUCCCGGUAGUGAAGACUUUGAUAAUGCUUCUAUCGACAGUUCCACUAGCAGAUUUAGUAGUUUCAGUAAAAAGCCCAACUUAAUCCAGAAGUUGAAGAAAUGGGGCAGCAGAGGUGGUAAAGACGAUUCUAGUGUUAUGUCUUCACCAGCAAGAUCUCUUGGGGGAGCAUCUCCGGGUAGGAUGAGUAUGAGCGUUAGACCAAGGGGUCCACUUGAAUCGCUAAUGCUUAGGAAUGCGGGUGACGGUGUAGCCAUCACUACUUUUGGAACAGCUGAGGAAUAUGAUUCCCCGGAAACACCAAAGCUUCCAUCUAUUAGGACACGAGAAUCUUCUGCUGAGGCACUGAAUUCAGUUGCAUCAUCAUUCUCUCUGAUGUCGAAAUCAGUGGAAGGGGUUCUAGAUGAGAAGUAUCCGGCAUUCAAAGAUAGGCAUAAGCUGGCAGUAGAACGAGAGAAGCAAAUUAAGGUAAAAGCCGAGCAAGCAAGAGCAGCAAGGUUUGAGAGGUCCUUGCCUCCAAAACUUGCUCAACUGAAAGAGAAGUCGGUACCACUGCCAGGGUCAGUACCAGUUUUGCCGGUGGUCUCUGCCUCUGGUGACUCAGCAGAGCAGUCUGGUGAUAGCAAAACCGACUCUCAAGCAGUAAGCAAAAUGAAACUUGUUAAUAUUGAGAAAAGACCUACUAGGACUCCUCGUCCACCUCCUAAACGAUCAGGAGGUGGUCCAGCUCCAGCUAAUGUUACAGGUGGAGCACCUGGAGGUCCACCCCCACCCCCACCUCCGCCUGGUGCUCCACCACCGCCUCCGCCACCUGGUGGAGGACCUCCUAGACCACCACCUCCUCCUGGAUCUCUAAUGAAAGGAGGAGCUGGAGGUGAUAAGGUCCAUCGUGCUCCUGAAUUAGUUGAAUUCUACCAAACAUUGAUGAAACGCGAGUCAAAGAAGGACACACCAUCAGCUUUGAUAACCGCUAAUUCAAACACAUCAGAUGCAAGAAGCAACAUGAUUGGGGAGAUAGAAAACAGAUCAACAUUCCUGUUAGCUGUAUGUAGAACUUCUCUUUUACUCCUUUGAAUAAUGCAUGUGCCUAUUACCCUAUUCUAACUCAAAGGAGAAUUGUGCAAAACCAGGUGAAAGCUGAUGUGGAAAGUCAAGGUGAAUUUGUCGAGUCAUUGGCAACUGAAGUUCGUGCUGCUUCAUUUACUAAUAUCGAGGAUCUAGUGGCAUUCGUGAACUGGCUAGAUGAAGAACUCUCCUUCUUGGUAUUUCCUUGACAUUAUACCUUCAAAUUCCCUAUUCCUUAAAUAGGGGACAUGAACAUCACUUUUCAUAAAUAGCAGUAUUUGUGCCCCUAAUAAAAAAGUAUGGCGAUAUUUAUUGAGUUUUCAAAACAUAAAAAAAGUUUUCUAUCAAAAUGUAUCAUAUAUACACUGACGAUCAUACAAACAUACAGUCAUACAUACACUAGCCUGAGGGAUGUAGUAAAAAUCUGCUAUAAAAAUAAAAGAAUCUAGCUAUUUUCUGUAAUAAUUUAAAAAUAUUGCUAAAACAGGUAAUUAGUGGGCUUAAGUUGUUAUAUCAUGUCAGUUUCCCUUAUUAAUCAUAUUUUUAUACAGUGGAUAUGAAAAUAGUUGGUUAAUUAAUCUCUCCCAAGCGACGAGGACCAUGCACUUUCUGCAUUAUAUACCUGCAGCAUUCAUUAACAGUUUAUCUCAUUGAUCUUUUCAAGGUUGAUGAACGAGCUGUCCUCAAGCACUUUGACUGGCCUGAAGGAAAAGCCGAUGCAUUGAGAGAGGCUGCCUUCGAAUAUCAAGAUCUAAUGAAACUAGAAAAGCAAGUAACCACCUUUGUUGAUGACCCAAAUCUUCAAUGUGAUGCUGCUUUGAAAAAGAUGUACAGGUUGCUUGAAAAGUAAGUCUCUGAUGAUAUCUAUGCCUCUUUUUGUCUAUAAACUAGAGAAUUUAGGUUUAGUAGGAUGCAGGGGAGGAUCCAGGCAUGGACGAGUCUGAACCCCCAUGGCGGAAAAUUACACUGUUUAUACACGUUUAAAAUUAUUUUCUAUGUAUAUACCAUGGAUGUUGGACCCCCUUCAUAAUUUGAACCCCCUUAGCGGAACUCCGGGCUCCGCCAUUGGUAGGAUGUGAAAAUGGUUGAGACUUAAACAAACUGUUCCAUACCACAUUUAAACUUAAACAUAUUUUGAAUUGGUACCUUUUCACUAAGUUGUUCGGACUCUCCAAAAAUGUUGCUGCACCCAUGUCCGAUCCUUCAAAAAUACACUACUUUUGGAGGAUCCGGCACGCACCUGUCAACAUUUUUGAAGAGUCCAAGCAACAUAGCCUUUUCAUGUGUAGUUCAUUUUUUUCUUCAUUUCAUUCCUAUGUAUAGCUAGCUCAGAUUUUCAUUCUGGAUACCAGGGUGGAACAAAGUGUUUAUGCACUACUGCGUACUCGCGAUAUGGCUGCAUCACGAUACAGAGAAUUUGGCAUUCCUACUGAUUGGUUGCAAGAUUCAGGUGUUGUUGGCAAGGUAUGUUCUUAUGUAGAAACAUCAUUGCGGUGUCCUUUCUCGAGGCUUUUUCAUAUAAAAACGCGAACUUUUCCGCCAAAAACCAUGCUGCAUGAAGACCUCAGAAUGUGAAGUGAAUUAGGAAAUAUCAAGAACCUGUGUAAUUAACAUAAAAUACGAUUUCACUUCGCGAUAAGUUCAAAAGAAAGAACAAAAAAUUUGCAGAGAAAUGAUCUGUUAUGUUUUUCUCUUCUGCAGAUCAAGCUUUCUUCAGUACAGUUGGCGAGGAAGUACAUGAAACGUGUAGCAUCUGAGCUCGAUGCACUGGAUGGACCCGAAAAGGAACCAAACAGAGAGUUUUUGAUUCUACAAGGGGUUCGUUUUGCUUUCAGAGUUCAUCAGGUAUAUACACACCACACCUGCAUUUUGUUCACUUGUUUUAUUAUAGAUACUGAUUGAAGAAUUCACCAGCUUGACUUUGAAAAUCCUUCUUUUUGCCAUCUUCAGUUUGCUGGAGGAUUUGACGCUGAAAGUAUGAAGGCAUUUGAAGAACUAAGGAGUCGAGUCCGGUCACAAAUAGGAGGAGAGAGUACACAAGAACCAUGAAUAUAUUUGUAUUUUGGUUUUAGUCAUUGUAUAUUUCAUCUUUUUUCUCCAAGUAUAGCAAACAUAUUCCAUCUUGGACAUUUUGUACAAUUCAAAAGGUUCAACUCAAGGUGAAUAUCAGAUAACACAGAUUAGUUAAAAGAAGUUGCAGGAAUAAAUAUUAUAGGGGGAAACACUUUUGACAACUUCACUAUAAGUGAAUUUUGGAUCUCCAUAUUCAUCAAUUCUGAAAAUUUGAGUAUACAUUACACUGGAAAAAAUGACUGAAACACUUGCAUAACUGUUGAAUAUUAAGAAAUUCGAGUAAUCAGUCAUAUUAACUUCAAGCUUGAAGUAUGUCGCCCCCAACGAUGAGAAACUUGAGAAUGUAGUUUAUGGUGAUUCAAUCAUCAGUACUGUUUCCUCCAUUUAACAUGGUGAACCUUCACAUUGUACAUAGAUAGGGAAAACGUUUAUUGACUGCGCGGCCAUGAAUAUUGUUACGACAGCUGAUGCAAACUGACUAAAGGCAUGCUUAUAGCUAAACAUGUUAUUGAGGUUUCUUGAUUUCAUCUGCUAUCUCAUUGUGAUGACAAGACUUCUAUCUGUAAAUUUGGCACCUCCAACCUUCCCUUGAAGUUGAGAUGGUAGACGAAUGACACGUCUUUGAUCACCAGCCUCCACCAACAAUUCAGAUCCUCCUCUAAACUGCAAAUAGCCAGAAAUUCUGAUUAAUUUCACCAUAUAAUUUGGUUUUCAGUAGCAAAACAAGUAGAGCAACGAUAAUAGCAAUGAGCCUUUGGUCAUCGUAGUAGCUUCAAAGGGUCGAGCACUCUCAAAUUGGACAACCGAAGCAAGUUAGAUGUCAGAAGAACUUUUCAUGUGCUAUAUUAACAGCAAAACUCUGAUCGCAUCCUAGAACAGCAAGCUAGGAAUGUUCUUAAUCGCUCAACUACAUAAUAUAGUGCUUCAUGCAAACGUAAGCACCUGUUGAAUGCUUCAUAGUCUGCGUUCGUUGCAGUUAAGUGAGUCAAUGUUUCAUCUAGUGAAGAAUUUCAUUGCAAGUUCACAGGAGGAUCACUUUUGGUAUCAUAGUAUACGCAAAAUGCAGAUAGGUGAAACAAACCAUACUACAUACUUGAUAUAGCUUGAUUUCCGAUUUGUCAAAACCGGGCAUGAGAAGUGUGACAAUUUUGUUGGUUGGAUCAAAGGUAACUGGAGGAAUGCUGGCCUUAUGAGCUGUUACUGUCAGAAGAUUCCGUGCACUCUCGCUAUGACUAUCCUGCAUAAUCUUGUUCCAAUCUAGAUGGGCUCCCACUGAGAUAUGUGGAACAAAAGCAGAAGGCAAAGGUGAAAAAAUCUCAAUCGUUGCUCCUGAUUCUCCACUUGAAUUUGGCGAUGCAAGAGCAAAUGCACCAGAAACCUGUGCACCGGCCUGGAUUAUGCAACCCCAGUAGCGUAAAGCAGAAGCCAUAGACACAGGGCUGUUUCUAUCCACCACAAUAUAGCAACCAAACCUUUUGGGUUCUGCAAAUAUUUUAGAUCCUCUCUGCAGCAUGCAAAAUCAUUAGAACCUUUAGUUCAAAUUCGAUGCAACAACAAAAACAAAAUACCUAGUGUAAUCCCACGAUUGGGGUCUAGGCAAGGUUGGAGUGUACGCAGACCUUACCAUACCAGAGGUAGAGAGGCUGUUUCCGAUAGACUAGGUCAAAAUUGAUGGUAUCUUUGAAAAAAAAGAUUAGUAGUUAACAUACCCCCAAUACUUGUUCUAGAAGGUCCCAAAUUUCUGAACUCAUUUUCCCAUUCAGAUUAAGAUUGCUACCGCUUAGAGUCAAGGCUUCUUCCGCAAGUCUCAAAAGUGAGGGACUUGCCAGCCUUCCUAAAUCAGUUUUUUCAGCUAAAUUGCGGAGAUAUUUCAAGUAUAACCUGCAUGUGGAAAUAAAAGAUAUGAUAUUCCACAUCGAUUUUUGCAUAGAGACAUUUAACAAGUCGGGGAGAAGAUCUAACCUUGCUUUGCUGGUUGCACCAAUCAUCCUAAUCGUUUCUUCAGUACUCAUGCCAUCAUAAAUAAUAAUAUCAAAUUUCUCUUUUUUACUAUUUUGUCGAACCACAUUUUCAAAAAAUCCUACAAGCUGCUCGAGUGCUAGGGAUGAAAAUAUGGAAUCCAUACCAGGAAGUACUCCAAGCUCUUCUCCAACUACCUAAGAUAUUGUGAAAAAAGUUACUCAAAGAGAACUCAUCCAGUUCUGGCGAAAGAAAGACAGACAAUUGCACCAUUAAGUUACAUACCUACCCCUUCAAGAACUCCUUGAGUCAUAUUAAGACGAGCAUCUGCUUGCUUCAGUUUAUUAAGAGGUUCAAGGAGCAUCUGCAAUUACCGAUGAUUGUUCAGCGUAAAUGAAUUGCAACCAAUAUAAAAUCUCAACAUUGCAGGAAAGACGGGUGAAGUAAGGGUUAAACAGGAACUGACUUUUGUAGUUUCCAAUCUAACGGCUGAAAGGUUGUCGUUGCAUGUUAUUGGCGAUGUCCCAAUCUUACAAUUCAGAAGAUAUUCAGCUGUCGGAUCUUGAGAAUGUAUCACCAAGCAUGUUUUGAGCCCUGACAUUGCAUAAUGCUGGUAAGAAAAGAAAUUUGCGGGUUAGUCUACCUAACUUCAUCUUAUUCAGGAGAAACGUGUGAUUCCUGUUAUGGUACAUCAUUAGUUAAGGUUUAAAGAGGAAAAGACAGGCAGAUUCAGGGUCAAUGUAGAGUGUCUCUUUAAUCUUUUGUAUAGUACUAGACGUCGACGAUAUAAUAAUAUCAUAGAAAAUACACUGAAAAUGAAAGGGCAAAAACAAAGCAAAUUGUGGCGAUAGUGCCAAGAUAAUAACACUAAAUGGAAGAGCAUGCUGUUAUAAAUUUAUAGGGGAGAAUGUAGCCAGAGAUGCAGUGAUCAAUGAAUAUUGUGUUAAUAUUUCGCGUGAGACCUAAACGUAUGUGUCAUCGUCACAUACAGAACAUAGCUUUUGUCCGGAUAUUUUAAGGAAACAAAUCACCUAAAAACAAUAUUAUGAUGAUUCCCAGGAAACAAACUUCUAAACGAUUCAUGAGGUUUGUUCACUUCCUACCCCCUCCCCUGCACUCCUGGAUGUUUUUUCCAUUCUUUGCUCCACUGCCCACAGCGUCGAAGGAAAAAGAAAAGGGAAGACAAAGUGUAACAAGUUUUCCUUCUGACAAACAAGAGAAUAAGCACGUGACGAGAGAAAACUUGGUUGCACUCGUGCUUUCCUUGCAGUAUCAUGAAUAAAAGUAUUAAAGUUGGAAUUAUUGUCUUUUGAUUUUGAUUGUGUAUUACAAAAUUGGUAUACCUCCUUGAAAACAGUUCGUAAAGAAAAAAAAGUUGAAUGUUAUUUAAGACAAAUGAACUAAAUCAUGAAAGUAACUGUGAGUGCUUCAUUUGAGUUGUAUAAGUACUCCAGUAAAUAGUGAGUGCUUAAGCAAGUAAGAAAACAACAAGAAGAGAGUAGUCAAGUGAGAAAUAAGAUAGAGAGCAACAUAGAGAGUCGUUAGAGUGUGAGUGCAAGAAAAAUUAAAAGGGUAGCACGGUGGACUAAAGCUCCCGCUACACUCGGGGUCCGAGGAAGGACCGGACCACUAGGGCCUUUUGUAAACAACCUUACACUGCAUUUCUGCAAGAUGGUGCUUCCACGGCUUGAACCCAUGACCUCCUGGUCACAUGGCUACAACUUUACAAGUCACACAAGAAAAUUAGUGCAAGAAUCAUAAGACCGAAGGGAGUCCUUACUUUUCAAUAAUAAAAUUCAAGUUGUUAGCAACUCCGUCAACAAUUCUAACAACAAACAAUCUAUCCUCUUAUAGAAGCCAGGGAUAGAAAAGAGUUCAAACACUAAUUCAGUCCCAGAUGAUCUAAAAAGCAUCAACACAACCCCACAUUUUCAACCAAAACAACAACAGCAUCCAUACACCGCUUACAAAAGAGAGAAUGAACAGAAACUUAGAAUCUUUAUAGCAAAAUUGUACACUUAAUCCACUAACCUGAGCAGCAAAAUGGCAUAAGUGGCUUUCCCAGAACCCCCUUUGCCCAAAAAGGUAACUAGCUCAGUGGAUUUUGCAUUAUUAGCUGAAUCAUCACUAGUAAUAGCCAAAAUCGCAUUCUUGAUCUUCUUCUUGUAUUAGCUAAAGAUUUUAUCUUUUUCACUGGCUGGUUGAAAAAAAUCAGAAUAUGUUUCUUCUAGUAUAGUUUACUUUAAUCGUCUGAUUUAUCGUCCUAUGGUUUGCAAUUACUAGCUUUCGCAUGAUGCCCUGCUAGUUUGAUCCCAACAAUUCAGGCCCAAAUGAUUUAUGAAGCAUCAAUACAACAACUCCACAUUUUCAACCAAAACAACAACAUCCAUCUACUGUUUAUAAAAGAUAAAAUGGAAAAAAAAAAAAUAAGUAGAAUCUUUAGAGCGAAAUUCAGAAUAAGUUUCUUUUAGUAUAGUUUACUUUGUUGUCAGAUUUAUCAUUGUUAUGGUUUGCAAUUACUAACUUCUACAUGACGCCCUGCUACUUCGAUCCCAUCAAUUCAGUCCCAAAUGAUUUAAGAAGCAUAAACACAUCCACAUUUCCAACCAAAAGAACAUCCAUCUACUACCUAAAAAAGAUAAAAUGGAACAAAAAGUAGAAUCUUUAAAGCAAAAUUCAGAAUAUGUUUCCUUGUAGUAUAGUUUACUUUGCACUCAGAUUUAUCGCUCCUGCGGUUUACGGUUUGCAACUAUUAACUUCCGCAUGACAUCGUGCUACUUCUAACCCAACAAUUCAGUCCUAAGAAUUUAUGAAGCAUCAAUACAACCUCACAUUUUCAACCAAAACAACAACAACAACAUCCAUCUACUGCUUAUAAAAGAGAGAACACAACAAAAAAGUUAGAAUCUUCAGAGCAAAAUUUAAUACUCCCUUUAUCGCAAUUUAUGUGUCACCCUUUCCUUUUUAAUCCGUUCCAAAAAAAUAAAAUUCACCAUACUGUAAAUUUUCUCUUUUACCCUUUUUUGACACAAAUUUUAAAAGUCAUUUAUUAUUUUUUUCAAACAACAUGUCAAAUUAAAACAGUGUCACAUAAAUUAAAACAGAGGGAGUAGUUAUCUCUAGUACUACUAGUAGUUAUUUUAGACACAAAUCUCUAAAGUCUUUAUUUUUCCUUAAACAUCUUAUCAAGUCAAACGAUACCACAUAAAUUGAAACGGAGUGAGUAGUUAUCGAAUAGUAGUAGUUAUUUUAGACACAAAUUUCAAUACCCUUCAUUCCUUUUAAACAUUGUGUCAAAUCAAACUGUUAUUUUUUCUUAAACAUUAUGUCCAAAGUCAUUCAUUUUUUUUAUGAUAACCGUGGUGUUUGGGUCAGCUUGCGCGUACCUCGACUAAAUCCACGGGAUACCUGCCACGUCCCACCAGCAACAGGUCCCAAGUAACUCCGUCCACCAAGAAAACACCUAGUAUUUGCCUUUGCUGGGAAUUGAACCUGAGACUCAUGGUGCUCAUCUCAACUUCAUUGAACCACUAGGCCACACCCUUGGAUGCAGUCAUUCAUUUUUUCUUAAACAACGUGUCAAGUCAAACAGUGUUGCAUAAAUUUAAAUUGAGAAGAGUGAGCAGUUAUCUAAUACUACUAGUAGUUAUUUUAGACACAAAUCUCAAAAGUUCUAUUUUUACUUAAAAUAUUGUGUCAAGUCAAACAGUACUACAUAAAUCGAGACAAAGUGAGAGUGAUUAAUCAACUAACCUGAGCAGCAAAGAUGGCAGAAGUAGUUUUCCCAGAACCCCCUUUGCCCAAAAAGGUAAUUAGCUUUGUGGAUUUUUCAUUUUUAACUGAAUUAUCACUAGCCAUAGCCAAAAUCUCCAUUCUUGAUUUCCUUCUCCUUGUUUUAGCUACACAUUUUAUCUUUUUUAUUGGCUGGUUGAAAAUAUCAGAAUAUGGGUAAUUUUGGGUGGAGAAUAAUGAAGAUGUUGUUAACAUUUGUACAGUGGAACUUGACAUUGUUCUACAAGAUUAACGUUGUUUGUAAACAACACAGGGAGAGUAGUAGUACAUUCAAAUUCAAUUUAGGAAAGUUAGGCCUUUCUUAAAAAAAAUAAAAAGAAUAAGUAAAAAAAAUAUCUAGAGUAGCAUAGUUAAGUACUCCCUCCGUUUCGAAAUAAGUGAAUUAUUGAGAUAUUUAUUAAUGUUUCAAAAUAAGUAAAUUAUUGAAUUUUUUUCCAAAUUUGUUCUUAUGAUUUGACAAACAAUUAACUUUUGAAAAGGCAUUACAAGGUCAACUUUUUCUUUCUUUUUUUGGGGGUAAAAAUGAAAAGUUGUGUUAAAUUUAUGUCUUUAAUAUUAAAUUAUAAAAAAUAACAACACUUUUAUCAAAUCACAUUUUGUAGCAUAUAUAUUUGUAUUUUUGUAGCAACAAUUUGUAAAAAUACAAAAUUCAUAUCGAUCAUAAGGACAGUAAAAAUCAUAUGUAUUUGUAUUUUUGUAGCAACACUUUGCAAAAAUACAAAAUACAACUUGUUAUAUUAUGUAAUUAUGAAACUGUUGCUAUGAAACUCAUAAUUAAGGGGCUAAAUAUGCUAUUUUUGAAUUUUGCCCCAAAAAAAAUAAUAAUAACAUAAAUAUGCAACUUAACUUAUGUAUUUACACAAAUCUCCACUCUUAUAAAGUAACUUAGAAAAAUUUCAAUUAAUUAUGUAUCUUCAUCGAAUACAUUAAAAGCUAAUUAUGUAUCUCGACGGAUCUAAAAGCGAAAAGAAUGUAUCUAGAGCUAAUUAUGUACGUUUACAAAGGAAAAAUUGUAUCUUUGUUGGAUGUAUUAUGUAUUUCGACCGACUCAAAAUCAACCCUAUGAACAUUUUUUUCCUCACGUUCACAAACGGUGUUAAUUGUAGCUUGUCUAUUUUUGGACAAACUGUCCGUUUUGGUACAUAAAGAAACGGACUGUCUGUUUUGACUUCUAGACUUGAGAAAGUGUCCCUUUUAACUCCGAACUCUUUUAUAUAUUAUAUAUUGCUUCUCUAGUUCUCUUUCUUGGUGUGUAUUAUUUGACAUGUUAAAUUCACUAACUUUUGAUUUGAUUAUGUAUUUGUAUUAAGAAUAAAAAUUUUUCGUAAUAAUGUAAAAUGUCAAAAAAAAAUUGUAAUUGAGCUCCAAAUUGUUGGGAUUUACUUUUUUCCUGCUUUCACAUUAGUAUCCGACUAAUUUAGAUUCGAGUAGGUCCAUCGAAGGGAUCUCUACCAAGGUUAUUCUAUAUUUAAAGCUCGAAACUAAAACCUCUUUUUACAUGUUGAUCCUUAUCAUAUGAACACAAUAUUUUUUUGUUUGUUUGUUUUUUCUUAGGUCCUCUUUGACAUAAUUUGAAAUUAGAUUAAUUUAAAGUUGAAGUUUUAUUUGAAUGUGCAAUUCUCAUUUGUUAAUGUGUAUUUUUUCUCAAAAAUAUGAAAAUUCUAUAAGUUGGGAAAGCUAUCAAAUUUUUUUGAAUUUUUAUGCUGUCUUACCAAAUGAGUAUACCAUAGUCCAUAAGCAAUAUAUCGAAAUAUAUCACAUAUCUUCAUGUUGCUUUUAUAGAUAAAUAUAUACAAUUAUAAAUUUACAAAUGCACAUAAUUUUAUAAAAAUUCACUAGUCAACAAUAAUAGUAACUAGAGAUUCUUCAAUACUAUAAUCUUUUCAAAUGAUAGAGUCAAUUUCUUCACGUCGAGCUUGAACGUUCUCUUAUACAAUUUAAAAUGAUAGGUCUUCUUCUUACAAAAUGUAAGCUUAUGGAUUAAAUUUUAUAUUAUAAAAAAAGUGAAAUCAAAAUUUUGAGUCUCAAAUUCUAUUUUUUUCUUUUUUCUUUUUUGGAGAAUUUAGCUACUCACGAUCCCAAAUUACAUGUGCAAAUAGAUUUAAAAUGAUUUUCUUAAAUCAUAUGUUCGAAAGUAAUUACACUCUCUCCCACUUUUUUAAUUAUUUUACUCUCUUUCUUUAUUAAUAUACAUAACAUAACCGACUUAUACAUAACAUUCUGUGUAUAUGUGGAAUUUUUGUAAUAUAUUUAAGGAGUUGAGAUUUUUUGUAAUAUUGAAAAUAUAAGUUGUGUAUUUGUUACUUUAGCUGAACUAGUUCUUUUCUCUCUUUAUUUUUUCACCUAUUUUUUCUAUCUAAGUAUGUUUUUGGACAUGCAAUUUUAUGUCUAUGAUAUGAAAUUAUGAGAUGAAAUCAACGUUUGGUCAUGCGAUUUCAUCUCGUGAUUUCAUAUCAUGACAUGAAAUCCCAAAUUCUUCAAAAAACAUGUUUUGGGGAUAUCAAAUCAUGAUUUAAGAUUAUUCAAAUACAAAAAUUAACCUACAAGUUUAUAUUUUGUAAAAAGAACAUCACUAUUUAUAUUUAUCAACUAUUUAUUUCAUAUGUAAAUAAUAAAAUGUAUAGUUUAUAUUCUUACUUUUGUCAAUCUUUAAAUUAUUUAUACCUCAUUUAACUAUUAUUUUUACGUUUAAUCAUGAGAAAUAUUCAUUUUUUUUCCAAUUUUUUUUUUUUUUAUUAAUAUUAUCUUCCAUCCAAAUAAGAACUUGAAAAAAACGAAGAGAAAGAAAAUGAACAGGAGCUCCCUCCAAAAAUGAAAUAAUAAUGUAAGGGACUAUUCACAUAUUAUCAAGAUUUGUCCAAAAUCUAAAACAAACUAGACCUCGAUGGCCGUGAAUAUAUGUUAUUUUUUAGUUUCAAUUUAUGUGACAUAAAUAGAAUUUGGAUAAUCAUAUUUUUAAUAUGCUUUAGAUAUUUUAAGCUUUUGACCAUGGUAAAUUAUAUUAUCCUUUAUACAAUUUUUAAAUGAUACAUGUUACUCUCCCUAUUCAAACUUUUGUGGAAUUGAUAGUCACUUAUAUUUAAAAUAAUUUAAUUUUUUAAUUAUUGAGUAUCUUUUUUCUAUUCCAAUUUAAGUGACACUGAUAUAAUUCGAAGAGUUAAUUAAAUAUUUUAUAUCUUUAAAUUUUUUGAAAAUGUUAAUUGUUGUGUUUACGUAUUUUUAAAAAAUAUAUAAUAGAUAAAAUCAUUUAUUAAGUAUUUUAAGUUGUUAACUAUUUUAAUUUAUAAUACUUUUUUAUAUAAUUUUCAAAUAAUACAUGUUACUCUCCUUGUCCAAACUUUUGUGCAAUUGAUAGUUAAUUAUAUUUUUAGUUAUUCUAAUUUAAGUUGGACUGAUAUAAUUUCGAGAGCCAACCAAUAUUUUAUAUCUUUACAUUUUUCGAGUUGUUAAUUAAUGUGAUCUAUAGUAUUUGUUAUGUUUUUUUUUUUGGAAUAUAUAAUAGAUUAAUAUUUUUUUUAUAUUUUAAAUUGUUAAAUGUUGUAAUUUAUAAUACUUUUUAUAUAAUUUUUAAAUAAUAUAUGUUACUCUUUUUGUCCAAAAUUUGUGGCAUUAAUAUUCAAUUAUAUUUUAAAAAUAAUUUAAGUUUAUAAUUACUGUGAUUUAUAUUAUAUUUUUCCUACUUCAGUUUAAAUGAUACUGAUAAAAUUUCGAGAGUCAGCAAAAUAUCUUAUGUUUUUUUAAUUUCUUAAGUUAUUAGUUAUUGUGAUUUAUAGAAUUUUUUUUGCAUUUUUUUGAAAUAUAUAGCAAAUUAAAAAAAAUAAGACAAAAAAUUAAAAUGGAUAAAAAAAAUAAAGGCAAUGGGAAGGACCAAUGAAGUUGUGUCAAAGUAGAUAGAUUGACCUUCAAAUUAUUUAAGUUGUUAAUUAUUAUAAUUUAUAGUAUUUUUAUACAUACUUUUUGAAACAUAUAACAUAUUAAAUUUUUUAAAGAUAUUUUAGUUGUUAACUGUUGUAAUUUAUUAUAAUUUUUAUGUAAUUUUCAAAUAAUAUAUAUUACUUUCCUUGCCCAAAAUUUUUUGGCAUUGAUAGUCAAUUAUACUUUUGAAAUAAUUUAUUUUUUUUAAUUGUUAUUUUUUGUAAUACUUUUUCUUCUAUUCUAAUUUAAGUGGCACAAUGCUUAGAUGAUCAUAAUAAUUAAUUAGGGUGAUAUAGUAAAAUCACGAUUGAAGCAACAAUGUAGAAAUAUUUUAAUGACUUAUAAUAACUAAUUAGAAGUGAAAUAGCAAAAUUACCAUAAAAAUACUUGCGAUUUUUUUUUAAGUGGACCUCAUAUAAGACGUUAAGUUAAUUUAGCAUUAAAUAUUAUUAUGUUUUUAAUACUUAAAUGACUUUAUAAUAAUUUUUUAAUAUUUAGAUGACUUAUAAUAAUUAAUUAGAAACGAAGUAGUAAAAUUACGGUUGAAACAGUUGAAGUAAACAUAUCAUAAAUGUCUAUUUUACUUUUUUAUUAAAUAUUAUUAAUUUAUUAAUAGAUAAAUGAUAUAUAAUAAUUAAUUAGGGAUGAUAUAGUAAAUGCUCAACUCUCUCUUAUAAUAUAAGAGAAUAUAAAACAAGUUUGUCUAGCUAUAUGAUAUUAAUGCUGUGAGUGCUAUAUCAAUGCUUGUAUAAUAUAUGGUUCCAUCACAUUAUGAAUUUUUUUUUGGCAACCCUCUUGUAUCACAAUAUUAUAAUUUCAAUAAUAAUGCAGCAUCUAUGAAAAAGUACAAACUAAAACUGAGGGUCUAUCAGAAACAAUCGAUCUACCUUUGUGAGGUAGAGGUGAUCGAUUAAGUCUGUCGUCUGCGUAUAUUGUACCAUCUCAAAACCUUACUUGUGGAUUACGCUAGAAUGUUGGUAUACAUGAAAAAAAUAAAAUAUAAUUUUGAUCUGAGCAUAAUUGUAGUAAAGUAUUAUACUACCUAUAGCUUGGUAUUUUCCUUGUAUAAUGUAAGAAGAAUUAAAGUAAAUAUAAUGUCAGUGUCCAAACUCAAAAUGGAGAUAUUAUGUUUGGAGGAUUUUUAGAAAUAAUAAAGGAAGGUAAAUAUUGAAAUAUUCAUGUAAAAUGAGUUUAUUGAAUUUUUUACUAUAAAGAUAUGAAACACCAAAAAUGAUAGAAAUUAGCAAAACAAUAAAAUAUAGAGAUUUCAAAAAGUAAAACAGAUUACCUACUUAUUCUCAAAUUUAUCACAUAUAUAGGACAUACAAUCUUAAAAAGAUUUGAUAAUCUGCUCUAAAAAAAUGGGAUUUUUCUCCUUGUUGAUUAAGUUUUCUCUAAUGUAGUCAAAAGUGAAAUAAUCAAAAAUGAAAACCACAAAAUAAUUUUUUCUUAAUUACCAUGUGAGAAAGUGGGUAAAAGAUCUCAUUUCUUUCCUUUCCGUCGAAUGAUACGACAAAUAUUAUCGGAUUUCAAAAUAGCACGAUCAAUAUUAGUAGCGCAUAAUUUCAUCCAAAAUCUAUCGUAAUUAGUAUUCUAAACUGCCCACGAUCAACAUGGUAAAAUUGUUAUCAUGUGAUCAGAAAGUCAUUGGUUCAAGCUGGGGAAACAACACCUUGCAAAAAUGUAAGAUGAGGCUGCAUACAAGAGGCCUUGUGGUUCGACCCUUCCUCGAGCCCCAUACAUAACAAAAACUUUAGUGCAUUACGUUUUUUUUUUAUAAUUCUAAACUGCCCACGAUCAACAUGGUAAAAUUGCUACUAUGUGAUUAGGAAGUCACAGAUUCUAGCCGUGAAACAACACCUUGCAGAAAUGUAAGACGAUACUGUAUGCGUACAAGAAGCCCUUAUGAUUCGACCCUUUCUCGGGACCCCAUACACAGCGGAAACUUUAAUGCAUGACACUAUUUUUUUUAUAUAUAGCAUUCUAAACUGCCCAAUAAUACAAAACUCAACGGCAAAAACAUGCAUUUUGUUAAAUCAAAGAGAGGGGGGGGGGGGGACAUUAUAUAUAUUCAUCAUUCAUGCCAAAAAAAAAAGAUCUAUAGAUAAAUCUAGAAUUAAUUAAUAACGUGAGCUCUCAAGUUCAAAUUUCAGCAGAGAUAAAAACAUUAGACGAUCUUUUCCCAUUUCUGAUAUAUGCUAAUGAAAGGUAGAACACAUCAUGCAAAAUUAAUCUAGUAUCACGUGAUAUUAGUCGAGGUGCAUACAAGCUGACUCGAAUACAGAAAUUAUUCCAAAAAAAGUAGUUACAUUAAGAAGCAUAUCUUGGCAUUGGACUAGCUCUUGGUGAUCUUGGAAGUUCAUCAACCCUAUUUCCAAAUGAAUCAUAAUAUAUAACACCAGAAAAUUUUGGUGGUUGACAUUUUUCACCUAACAUAAUUGCCUUUUGCCAUAGACCUUCUUCUCCGGCUACUUCUCCGGUACGAUGACCGGAAUCUUCAUCGAUUUUUUUGGUCAUGUUAGUUGGAACAAUUUUGGAUUCAUUACUAGUUUUGGACAUGGAUUUUUUUGAAGUUUUUUUUGCAUGUUUUGCACAUAAUGCUACAAGUGCUAUUAUUGAAAGAAAUAAACCAAUUGAUAAUGGCAUGGAAGUAUAUAAAUUAUCACCAUUAAUUCUUGGUAAUAUUGGACGAACCAUUUUAAAGAAAAUUAAUUAGGGUAUUUGGAUAUUUCAAGUUGGAAGAAAAAGAAGCUAAGGGUGAUGAAGAAGAAAUUAAAGAAAUGGAGAGUUUUGAGAUAUUAUGAGUGGAUAAAUGGGGGCUGGGGCUGGGGGUGGGGGUGGUUUUAUUUUAUUGAAAAUAAAUUUUAUGUAUGAUAGAUAAAAAAAAUGUAUCUACAAAUCACUUAAAAGAUGCUUGGAGGUAAUUAAGUCUUUGUACAAACAUUAAUUAAUAAACUUAAAAAAUGGAAAGUAAUCUCUUAUAAUGGGUCAAGAUAUAUUGAUAGUAUAAUUAAACUUUAAUUUUAUAUCAUUAGUGCAUAUAAUUUAAACAUUAUUUUAUUAUUUUAUGGUGUAGUGAUUUUUCAACCCUAAUUGUGGCAGUUGCAAGGUAGGAGAACAAUUUUCAACUUUAAUUUUGCAUUGGAAUUAUUUUAAUGACUCAAUCAUUAAAACUUAUGAGAUUUUAUAUAUUUGUUUUCAGAUUUUUAUGAUUAGGUAAGUCAAUUCAAAAACUUACAAGACGAAAAAAAAACUGUAUUUAAAGAAAAUAUUUUUUUUGUUUGUUUCUUUCAAAACUUUAUACAAGUAAGUUGAACAACUAAUGAUUUUUUACUAACUCGUGUUUUAUUAAUUAAUGUAUUUAUAUUUUUCAAAUUUAUAGUUUUUACUAACUCAAGACUUUACUAAAUCAUGUUUUAUUAAUAUAUUUUUCAAAUUUAUAGUUUGACCAAUUCAAGCACUAUUUUCAUUGUUGAAAUCAUUGAAGACGUGUGUAUCAAUAUUUAAGUUUGGAUUGGGUCAACAUUAUAUGAUAGAUUUGUUCAUUUAUUAAGUGAAUAAUAUUCCAAAUAUCAUCAAAAUUAAAAUUCACCUACUUUCAUGAAAAAACUAUUCUAAAAUUUAUUGACUUCAUAUAUUCUUUAUGUACGGUUAAUGUGAAUCAUUUUUUAUAUUGUCAGACUCAAAUCAUUCAAAUUAUAUUUAGAUUAAAGGUAUGCCUUCUUAAAAUGUGAGAUUUGAAAUCUUAAAAAUAAGGUAUUGUAGUUGUACUAUAGGUAAAAAUAAAUAGUACAAAUAUUAUUUAAUAAUCAUAGUUUAUGUUAAUUAAAUUAACUUUUUAAUGUAAUUAAUAAAUAAUUAACAACUACUUACCAUCUUAUUAUGGCUGAUGAUCAGGAGACGGCUUGCAAAAAGGAACUACUAAUAAUUUUUACUCAUAAUUUGAACUAAUUAAGUUUUUAACCUAAUUAAGGUUUUAGGUUAAUGUAAACUAUUUUUUUAAGCUAGAUCGAGCAUUGCAAAUAAAUAAAAAUAUUAUAGAGAUAGAUACUCCUCCAUUUUUAAUUUAAAUUAAGUUAUUGUUCGAGCAUUGGACGUGGAAUUGUCUUUGUUAAGGAAAACUUUACCUCCCACUGUUAAAUUUUCUGACGCAAAUUUAGAUUUAAUAAUACGAGUAUUGAAAACAAAAAAUAAUAUUAUAUGUAUCCCUUUCUAAUUUUUUUUUUUUUUUUUUUUUUAUAUAUAUUCCAGCAUAACGAGAUGUUUUCUAUUCUCAAAAAUUACAACUUAUAGAAUAUUCUAUAUUUAAGAGGUCAUAAUAGUAAUAUAGUAGACUUAGUGGACGUUUGUUUUGCUAAUCAUGAUGCAUGUAUUAUAAUAAAUUAAUUUACACAAAUUUUAUGUGAUUCUACGUACGUGCAUCCCAUGAUAAGAAAUUGACAAGUUUUAUAAUAAUAAUAAUAAUUUCUUUCUAAAUCGUAUAACAUGCCCUCCAACAUCAUCCCCUCAAAUACAAAUACUGUAUACAAAGCACAUGAAGAGCUAAAACUCUAAAGUGUUAAUUUGGUACGAAGGAUAAGUGAUAACUAAUUGUUGAAUUAAUUUUAGAAUGAGUUCAUCCCAUGUAUAUUUGGUUGAUAUAAAAUCAUGAAUAAUUUAUCUCAGAAUUAGAUAUUAAAAAAUUAUAGUGAUUUUUAUCCCACAUUGAAAGUGAUAUAUGAUUAUCAAAAAAUUAAUUUUAAAAUAAUUAAUUCCAGAAUAACUAGUUCCCGAUCAAUCGAACCCUAAGUGGAGUACUUUUCUUCUUGUUUUCUUUUUUUAAUAAAAAAUUAUUAUGAAUGUUUGACUAUCCACGUGUCAAGAUCAGAGAGUGGUGAGUCUGAGAUCAUAUAUUUUAUUAAUAUGCAAUUAUGUCACUUUUUUUUUCUUCUCAUAUUGUUGGGGAAAGGGUUAGUUUUGCAUUUUUGUGUAUGCAAAUUUCAGCAAACAUUGCCUUUCGUCAUUUUUUUUUAAUAAUUGUGGUGUCUGAAUAAUUUUACAUAUUAAUCUUUAAAUAUAAUAAAUUUAAUAUUUGAGAAAUACAUUAGAUAGUGAAGAAUAUAUCUAAUAUUAAGACUAAAAUGAGUAAAUAAUUAAGUUAUUCAUUAAUUUUAUUGAACAUCACAAAAUAAAAAAGUGAAACCGAUGAGUAUUAAUUAUUAUCUGGUUGUUAGGAGAAAAAAAAUCUUUUUGUCAUUGACUUUCUACAAAACACUAACUAAAGCUAAUUUUGAAGCAUAGUUAAAAAUUGAGUAAAUUUAAUACUUUUUUCAAAGAUUGAUAAAAGAAAAAAUGAGAAGUAAUCUUUUAUCUUUAAUUAAAGAUUUUGAAUUUGAAUUUCGUUCGAUAUAAGAUCACCCUUAUAAAGGAAUGCUACAACUCUCAAUAUGAAACUUUUCGACACGUAUAAAUUCAAAUAUAAUUGAAUCUGAAUACAAAUACCGAUCGGUCGUUAGAACGAAGAAAAAAAAAGUUGUUAGAGUUUGUGACCCAAAUUCUGUUGAUUCGGCCCUGAAAAGUUCGCGGUGCGACCCAUGUUUGUGAUUUUUCUUGGGGUCUGUGGUGGUAGCCUAGGAUUUAUUUGUACGUAUGUAUUAGUAGGUCGUUUUUAGAUGUUCAGAAAAUAUGUCAUUCUUCUCAAUGUAUUCUCCAUCCAUUGUAUUUUUGCUUGUGAUUUGCUUAUUUCUGUCCCAACUUAACAAAAGCAAUGAUCAUCUUCUUACUUCUAAAAUCCAGACAAUUUCUUGGGUAAUUAACAACACUUAGAAAAAGAUAUUUCCCUUUAAUUAAUUUUCUCAACCAAUGAGAAGGUUAAGUGUCAAUUAAUUAACUUUCUAGCUUAACCAUCAUGAGGAAGAACUGUGGGACAGAAAGACAAUUAUCUUAGUUUCCUUUUUGUUCCUUUAUAGUAUAGUUCAUUCAUUAUACCUUUUUUAGCUAAGAAAUUAAAAUGACACCUACAAAUAUCUUUUGUUUUUUAAUUAAAAGUUUCUUAUGUGAUGAUUUAAUCACGUUUCCUAAAAGAAUCAUAUAAUAAAAAUAAGGAAAAAAGUCAGAAAUAUACAUAAAUUUUGGUAAAAUUUAUUGUAACACGCCUCAAUUUUGCGGGGGUCUUAUGAUCUCCUCGAUUAUUUAUUACCGUAUUUCUGUGGCAUAUAUUUAUCCAGCUGAACCAUUUCAGAUCCUUAUGUGUCAGUGCGCGUGCAUUCACCCAGGGGUCCAGCUAGACAAAUAGAUGUUACAGAAAUACGGUAAUAAAUAGUCGAGAGGGGACAAAGGACCCCCGCAAAGUUGAGGCGUGUGAUAGUGUCACAAUCCAAAUGGCCAUGAGUGGCACCCACACUCAAUUUUUCAGUGGGAGGACCAUCUAAAUCAACUAUUACCCAAUCACUUAGUCAAUAUUAAAAUGAUAUUUUCAUAAAAUCAUCUUAACGAUAAUAAUCUAAAGUUCAUCAUUAGUAAUGCGGAAACAAAAUAAUCUACUUACCAAAAUUUUCAAGACCCGAAAGUCAUCGUACAAGAACUACUAACAAAGAUCAUGUCUAAAGAGAUAUAAAAAAAAUAAAGUAAAUAAAGAAUGUUUCAUUGCCCGAAAGAUGGACAAGAACAAAUAAGAUGACCCAUGGCAGCCUGAAGACGGAGUGCUCACACUUGGAUCAAGAGUUGCUAUCAAACUCUGGAGGUGAGAUCAUGUAUGAGCAUCUAGAACAAUUUCUGCACUCAACAAAAGAAGAGUACAAGGUAGUAUCAGUACGAACCACUAUGUACUAGUAGUUAUCAUAGUCUAACUCAUGACUUAAUAACAUGUACGCAACUUGAUACAAGCAUGAAGAGCACAAAGAGUACAAGGUCUUGUAGAAGGUUUAAGUUUCAGAUUUUUCAAGUGAUUGAAGAUCUUUUUGAAGCCUUUUUAAAACCUUGUCCAAGUGAAGAAAGGAAGAGGGUUCUCACACUCAAGAGGUGCCUCAAGUGAAGGUUAAUGGAAACAUUUUACACUCCAAAAUGACACUCAAGAGGCGCCUCCUUUAAGCUCUCAUUAAGGAUAUUUUUGUCAUUUGGCAUGUAAUAGUAUAAAUAGACCAUUUUCUCACUCUUUUCAUUAGAUUUUGAUGAAUUGAAAUUGAGUGUUACUCUUAGUGUAGUUUCUUUCCUUAGUGUAGGGCUUGAAAAAUCCAUCUUAGCGUAGGUCUUAGAAAAGACAUCAAAACUUGAGAGAUUAAUACAUUUGAUGGAUUUCAGUUGUGUUGAUCAAUUGGCAAGAAAGGUGUGAUUGAGGAGUAUGAGUCUUUUGGUCCACCUAAGAGGAAGGUUUGAGCUUCUAUUGGUGAGGUGUGAUUGAUGGUUUGAUACAUCAUCUUUUGUUAAUCACUUGGAAGGAGUAAAGGUCUUUCUAUCUAUCUUUACUUUAUGCAUCUCUUCUUCAUCUCCCUUUCUUCUAGUUACUGUUUUUUAUUUCUUUAGGCCUUAAUUUCAUUUUAGUAGUUGAUUUUUAUAUUAUUUGGUAUCAAAGUCUUGCUUAGGGUUGUUACCACAACUCUAAUCCUUUGUUUUAGUGUCCUUAUUAAGAAAAUCUCAACAAAAAAGAGUCAAAAAAUCUGAAAAUCUCAAAAAAAUUGUGUGUUGUCUUGUUGUUGGUAGUAGAUCCGAUUUCACAACUUAGAUCUACUAAUUUUUAGCUUUUUUUGAUAGUUUCUUGUGUUAGAUUCUUGUUCUCUAACACCUAGGGAGUCUAGAUCUACACUUGGAACAAAAUUUGGUUGAGUUUAAGCUAAGAACCUCCAUGAAUAUGGUGUUUUUUUGAAGUUUUUAAGCUAGAUUCGAAAUUGGGCUUGUGAUUUAGACGAGUUUUAUGGUUGAUUUUUACAUAUUUGAGUUAAACUUGGCCUAAGGAACCUAGAUCUACAAAAAAAAUCCAGAUUUGGAGUUCAUUUGGUUAGGAGUCAAACUUUGGUCAACUUUUAAAUAUUCAUCUUGUUCUUUCAUGUUCAUCAAGUCUUGCUAAGGAAGAAUAUUCAAAGAGCGUGUUUGAUCCAAAAAAGGAGAAGGAAGAGAGUGUACUUGGUGUUUGUGAAAGAAUAUUCCUUGGCAUAUUCAUCGUCAUCCAAAAGAAAGAAGAGACAAAGGGAAUAAUCAAGUACAAUUGAAAGUACAGUGGGGGACCAAUCCAUUUUGAAUUCAUUUGAAGCUCCAAAAGGGUUCCAAACCUUCAAUUUUUCCCUCCCAAAUGAAAAUUCUUCUUCUCCAAGGGUGUUCUAGGCUGAGACUUGAAAAUUUUGGGUGAAAAUUUUUGAAAACUCAACGUCCAAUCAUUGAAUGCCACGCAUCAUAGCUCAACGGCCAAAUUAAGUUCUUAGUUAGAUUUUCUAGUUUCUAAUUGUUGUUUCUAGUUUCAAUUUUGUUGGUUCUAUCACUAAUUAGCAAGCUAGUAACUACCUACUAGUUUGGUAACUAGAUUAAAGUCCGUUUGUUUUGCGUCUUCAAUUUUUUUGUGUUUUUCUCGUUUUCAAAUUCGUAGUGGUUUGUUGGUUCAAGUCCGUACAUCAUUUUAUUUGAGUCAUAUCAAACAAAAAUUGAUUCUGGACCAAAUAAUAUUCACCACUCAUUCACUUGCCGAGUAUUGCCAAGUUUUCAAUACUUAUGAAACUAAGUGUGAGGUAAGAAACGAGUGUGAGAGUGGUGAGGCCUUUUUCGUUUUGUAGGUUUUUGCCUUUGCUGUUUUUUUUGUUCUUUUAGGUACAUUUGUCAUGGGAUCCGAAGGUACUACUUCCCAACCUUUGAGAAAUUAUGCUAUUGGAGCCUUGAUGGCUCGACUUGAGGCCUUGGCCCGAAAAAUAGAUGAUAAUAAUGAUGUUUUAAGGAGUGAUAUAGAUGCUUUUAGGUGAGAUAUGAAGGGUUAUGUGGGAUUAAUGAGGGGUGACAUGACUAGAAUAAAAAUGGGGGUUGAUAGACUAUGUGUACCAAACCCUCCACAAUUGAACCAAGUCCAACAAAAAGGACUUGGUACUCAAAUUCUACCCCAAAAUCCGAACUACUAAAUCCCAAACCCAAUUAACCAAAGACCUUAUCCUUCUCUCCAAAUGCCAUAAAGCCGAAAUCUUCCCAUCCAAAUAGAAGAAGGAGAGGAGUUAUAAACCCAAGAUGAUGAGGCUAAGCCUCAAAAUGGAGAGAAAAUGGAUGGUGAGAUACAAGGAGGAUGUGAAGGAAGGAGGAAAAAGGAAAGGGAAGCCACAGGUAGUGAAAUUAAAAGGGAAAAAUAACACUUGAUUGUGGAUCUUGUCCACAAAGGAUCCUUGAUAUUCACUAACCCAAAAACUAGAAUUUUUCCUAGUAUUUUAUCUUCUCAUGUGCAGGUUCAAGACCCUAGAAUUCUCAAGGAGAAGCCCAAGGAAGUUCCCUUCAAGCCCUUGGCCGAAAAUCCCAAUUUUGGGAUAAGUGAUGAAGAAGUGAGUUCAAAGGGAAACCUUGAGAUAUUCCCUUGUAAUGUUGAGCAUGAAGGCUGCCAUGAUGCAAAACCAAUUGAAUAACACACUUUCCAUGAUCUACAAGGUAACAAAGCUAUCUUCUACACCCCCAGAAACUUGAAUUGUUAUGAUGUGGCUAGUAGUGGCCAAAGUGGUGUAGUUUCAGAUUUGCUUAGUGAAGAAGUGUAUGAAUCUUCCUUUUGUGAUACUCUUGGUGUUGUUAGGUUGCAUAAGUACCAAACUCUUGUUGUGAGUACGCAAACACUAGUUGAUCCUUUAGAUGACAAAAUCAAUUCUUUUCGUAAGAAUGAUUUGUGUCCAUCUAGUGCUAGCACUUAUAACUUGAAUAAGGUUUCAUUACCAAGUGACAAGAGUAUUUACACACUAGUUGAACCUUGUAAAAACCAAGGUGAGUCUACGUUGGUAUGUGAGUUGCUAACAACUAGUGAGGGUGUGCAAAAUAAUCAAUCGGGUGAAGUUUACCUUGAAUUGCUUGAAUAUGUAAGAAACCCGGAUUGUGAUUGUUCUUGUGAACAUGUUUUUGUGUGUGUUCCCUUUGUUGCUCAUGGUGAUUUAUAUCUAUGUGGGGAUUACUCUCUUAAAAUAGAAAGUGGUGCAUGCUUAGAAAUUCCAUCUAUUUCUUCUUUGUGGGUUUCCUAUGUUAAGCAUCCUAGUGGUGAUGGACUUGGAACUAGUGAGUACUUGCAUAAGAGCGCCAUAGUUGAAGUUGAUUUGUGUGAUACUUUUCUCUACUCUCUAUUUGCCUUUGAUGAUAUGUAUGCUAUUGUAGAGAGUAUGUCUUUUAGAUUGGGCGAAGCCUAUGGGGAGAAAGAGUGUUGUCUAGAUCCAUGUCUAAGUUCCAUUUGGCCUUGGUGCCAAAUAUCGAUAUGAUGAUGCUGGCCCACCCAACUUGUUACUUCGUCUACAUGACAAGCAAAGUAUUAUUCUUGAAAACCCGAGGGCAAAUGUGUCAUUGUCGUUUUGGGAUAAUACUUCUAAAUGUGCAUCCUUUCUUGACACAUUUGUGCUUGAAUUGAAUGAAUCCCAACUUGUGGAUGCCAAAUUGAUGUUUAACUUGAAAGAAGGAAGUCAUAUGUGUUUAAAUGACUUGAUUCCAACCUUAUGUGCUAAACCUAUUGAAUCAAUUAGCAUUCUUAUAGAUGAUAGCACCUUGGAUGAUGCCUUUACACUUGAUGCCUUCCUAUACUACCUCUUUUCUUAUGAUGAUAUCCAUGCAAGUCUUGUAUUUGUUUUAUGUAGGGGUAGGACAUUUGUUUGUUGGUCUACUUGGAGUUACAAUGCUAUAUGACUUUUGUGGACCUUUGUAGUUUCCUUACCUCUUGAUGCUUGCCUUAGUCGUGUCCUUUGUGAUGUUUGUGGUAGGUGUUUCCUGAUCAUAACAAAUGAUAGUUAGUUGUAUUUCAAAUGUGUAUCUCCCUGGAGUGUUUCUUUGAACUUGUCUGUUGAAAACCAUGACAUUAACCUUGUUCAUAGUGACCUUGUAUAUAGCAUAGUUAUGUGUAAUGUCUUGGAUAAUUGUGAGUUGGAUCCCUAAGUAAAAGGGAUGAUUAGUCUCGGCUUAUGCCCUUGGUUACUUCGACCCUUUGAUCUCGGUGCAUUCUUGAAGUAUGGGAGGGAUAGCCUCGGAUUAUGUCCAUCCAUUUUUUAUAUUGAUCCUAUUAACUUUCUUUGUGUUAUUUAUGCUAAGUCUUUCAUGUCACAAACAAAGGACCCAUGGAUGUAUGUCAAGUGUGAGCAACCUUGGCUUAUCUAUAUAACUUGUGGUACUAAUGCUAACCUCCUCCCUUGAGGAUUGUGUGAUUGUUUUCCUUUUCUUUGGUUUUACAGGGUGCGAAUUUGAGGACAAAUUCCUUUUAAGAUGGAGUGGAUGAUACAAGCAUGAAGAGCACAAAGAGUACAAGGUCUUGUAGAAGGUUCAAGUUUCAGUUUUUUCAAGUGAUUGAAGACCUUUUUGAAGCCUUUUCAAAACCUUGUCCAAGUGAAGAAAGAAAGAGGGUUCCCAUACUCAAGAAGAACCUCAAGUGAAGGCUAAUAAAGACAUUUUACACUCCAAAAUGACACUCAAGAGGCGCCUCCUUUAAGCCCUCAUUAAGGACAUUUUUGUUAUUUGGCAUGUAAUAGUAUAAAUAGACCAUUUCUUCACUCUUUUCAUUAGAAUUUGAUGAAUUGAAAUUGAGUGUUACUCUUAGUGUAGUUUCUUUCCUUAGUGUAGGGCUUGGAAAAUCCAUCUUAGUGUAAGUCUUGGAAAAUACAUCAAAACUUGAGAGAUUAAUAUAUUUGAUGGAUUUCACUUGUGUUUAUCUAUUAGCAAGAAAGGUGUGAUUGAGGAGUAUGAGUCCUUUGGUCCACCUAAGAGGAAGGUUUGAGCUUCUAUUGGUGAGGUGUGAUUGAUGGUUUGAUACACCAUCUUUUGUUAAUCACUUGGUAGGAGUAAAGGUCUUUCUAUCUAUCUUUACUUUAUGCAUCUCUUCUUCGUCUCCCUUUCUUCUAGUUGCUGUUUUUUAUUUCUUCAGUCCUUAAUUUCGUUUUAGUAGUUGAUUGUUGUAUCACAACCUAAAUCAAAUGACAAGUAGACAGGCAUCAUCACAUAACAAAUUCUCGAUGAAUCAAUAAUACAAUAAUAACAGGUCAAACAGUGCUCACAAACAAGCGACAUAACCAUCAAGAGUAUCAACCAUACUGUAAACAUCCACAGAAUCAACACAAAUAUGUACACACAUGCUAUGGGACUUAUUUUUUCCCAAAUAGUCAGGACCUGUAGGGAAUAAUUUAUGUUCAUGUACCGUACCGGCGUGGUAUCCGAUCCAAUAUAAAUAUAAAUGAACUGGCGUGGUACCCGACCCAACAUAAAUAUAAAUGAGUAUUAUCAAUAUCAAUUUACACAACCUCACAUCAUACAACACAAUGUACCAUGUUUUCAAGUACACUUAAAGUCAUAAGACAAUUCCAUCAAGUCAAUUUCCAAUAAACAUUUAUACACGAAUCAACAAUCCAAACAUCAACGAUUUCAAGCAUGUUCGAAUACCAAUCCACAAGUAUGCAAUUUAGGAGCAUACCCACAAUUAAGUCGAGUCUAAACUCUAAUUAAACCGUAACCUACCUCAACCGAAGAAUUCAAGUGCAAGCUAUUUUGCAAGGGCCUUGCCCUUCCGUUAAGCUUCUGAAUGAUUUAAAUCUGUCCAAACAUAUAAUCCCCAUAAGAGUACUAAUUUAACGACAUCCGUUUUAUAAAUGCUUACUCUAAAAAUUCUAAACCUGAUAAGUAAAUGUCAUAUUAUAACUAACUUUAUCCAAUCUCCUGUACAUCUCUCACUAUUAAAUCAAUUCAACCUAAUUGUAAUAGUAUAACAACGAAUAGAUUUCCAAUCAAUAUCAUGACAUUCCUAGUUGGUAACUGCAAAAGAACACUUGUUCCAAAAGAAGCUUCCCUUGGGAUUGUUUUCCCAGGCAAUUUUCCUUUUUUGCGCUUAUACGUUUUUCUCUGUAUUUGAUGUCAAGUUGGAUUGGAUUUCUCCCUUGGGUGGACUCCAUAUGGGGAUAACUUGUAACUUGUAAAGUCUAGGAAUAAAUUCUUAUUAAGUAAUCGGUAAGCUGAUAUGCCAUUACUGGGUUCCAUCCUAUGGCAAUUAUUGACUCGGGAAUGACCGAAGUCGCUUCACUUCAAAGUAGAGGUUUGUGGUAACGGUGGACGGAUAGAUCAGGUCCAAGGCCUAAGUGCCUAGGUUGAAGUGGUAAAAGUCGCUGCCGAUGGAGUUCCAGCUGCCAGAGUCUUCGAUAAGAAAGAGGCGUCUGAGUAAACAGAAGUGAGAUCUUUCUCUUAUAUUAUAUAGGCUAUUUUGCCUUGAAAUCCCAUUCUAUCCAUCUUAUUCUUCUGUGUAAGUAAAGACUAGCAGGGCAUUCUCUUGCAUCAAUUCCUCUCUCAAUCACGAUGAAAUCUAAGAGCUUGCUCGAAGACAACCUUUACUUUUUAGUAGUAACCUUUCCUAUCCUUUAGGCGGGGAUAGGUUCAUAGGAGGACUUAGUUACAUAGGAAGGAAAGGCUUAAACUAGAAGGGAUAAGAAAGGGAAUUACACUAUAUCUUGGCAAUGGCACUCCAACAAGCUCGGUAGGGAGAGAAAGAAGAGAAGGAGAAGAGGAAGUACGACGAAAAGGGUAUGAAAUAGGUUUCUUGUAGCGAUUGUGAUUGCUUAUUUGGUUGGGAUUACCAGCCUGGCCAAAGAAUAAGAUAAAAAGAAGAGUUCCCGCCUACGACUACAUGCCCAUUAAGAGAUAUACCUGGAGUCGAGCUAACUGCAUAGGCAGAGGGGAACUUUCCUAAAAAGCCUAAUAGUAAUUAACCGCAUUAGAAACAACGAAUCACACUCUGAAAUGAGGUUCCCUCCCAAUAGAUGUCAGGAGGGAGCAAGGCGUGAUUGCUCUGUCAUCCUCCGACCGCCCCCCUUUCCACCUCGAAGUAGUGGUGUUGGUGUGUCUCGUACCAAUCAUUCCGGUCAAUCCCUUUCCUGAACCAUAGGUAAGGGAUGACAGGAGAUGGCCCCUAUAGCAAAAUAAGCCAGCCCCUCAUUUGAGAGAGUAAAUAGAAUAGUAUCGGGCUUAUGACAGUCUGACUUUUGAACGACUUAGCAACUACUAAGCUCCCGCCCACCCCCAACUAAUUAGGGUAAAGUGUUCAUUUAUACCUUCAACAGCACCGAGAUAUUGGCCCAUGACCAUGUUUACUUCAUCUUCAAGAGAAAGCAUCCUGGCUCUCAGGGCCUCAGGCAAGCCUGGAUCCUUUCCUACUUCCUUAGUGAUUCCAAGAAGAUGCUUCAACCCUGUUAAGUUUUAGCUGGCUAUCACGGUCUAAUAAAGAUUUCCAAUUUUGUUUUGGAAUAUUUUCAUUCGGGAUUAGAACGACCUAUAUUGUAAGGGAGGAGAGAAGGUAAACCAGGUUCCUUUGGUCGCCUUGCCCGUCUAGUCGAGUAGCUUUUGCUCCUUCCUACUUACUUUAUUAUAAUAUAAGCUUAAGCUGCUACGUGGCCUAUUGGGAGCUUUUUAGUCAUAGUGGGAGCUUUCGAAAAUCACUUAGCAGGUCAAGAUCAUAGGAAGAGGGAAGAACAAGGGGGAAGAUCUUAUUUAAAAGAAGACGAUUCCAAAAGAAAGUCAAAACGGGGAAUAGGAUGCCUUAAAGGUAAAUAAGAAAGAUCCUAAAUAAAAAAGAAAAUAGCUAUGAAACCGAUUACAAAAAUACCAGUUAUAGUACCUAUUAUCCAAAGAGGAAUCCUUCCAGUAGUAUCGGCCAUUUACCCCACUUCCCUCCAGA
rnacentral:lncRNA from 1 species